AUUGUUCUAAAUAAUUAAUAAUUUAAAAUAGUUAAAAUACAUAAAAUUUAAUUGACUUUCAAAAUUAUAUUAGUGCCACUUAAAUUGAAAUAGAAGAAAAAAUAUUAUAAAUUGUAGACACAUAAUUUUGAUCAUCCAGAGCUUCAUAAUUUAUUUUAUUGCGUUAGUUUUAGUUAGCUUCUCUUUAUAUGAGAAUUCAAAAUUUCAAAAUUAGUGACACAUCAAAUUAUGCAACUUGCUGCGAUUUCAUUGAUCCAAAAAAAUAUUUUUAGUUUUCAUUUAUUGCUAUUCUUAUCCAAUUAUGAAUAUUUUUCUAAAGCUAAAUAAACUAAUCUCACCCUUUAUCGCACCAUAUCGGUGUAGCCUACCCACACCGAAUAAGUGACCUCAAUAUUCCCUCAACCAAGUGGACCCACCCGUUAACAAUACACGACAACGACCCAUAACAAUAAUAUACACACGAAAAGGGAGAAGAAAACAGGAGGGAGGAACUUCCAUGAAUGCACCAUGAGCUUCUCCACAAAACGAUUCCAUUAACAAUAGCAUACUGUACCCAUUCUUAACAAUUUCAACAAUUAACAACCAUAACUGACAACAAUCAGCAACAUCACUCCUUUCGACUCCAAUUUUCUCAUCAGAAAACACCAUUGAAACCACCCUCCACCAUUGAUUUUUCAGUGAACAAUGACCAAUAUCGUCUCCUCUUUUGAACCAGUUCUGGAUCCUACCAGAACACUUCCUCCACCUAUUUCUUCAUUGGAAAAAUCCACCCUCACCUUCAUCCAUCGAACUCCGACUACGGCCGCUCCAAAAUGGGUCGUUUUGUUAUCAAACAGGUCGUUUGAACUUGGUUUUGUUCGGGUUGGUUAUUUUGAUUUGAGGUGGCUUAGAGAGAUGGUAAGACCCAAUUUGGCAAAGAGAGAAGGAGAAGAGUUUGAACAAAAAAUUUAUGCGGUGGAAAUUCGACGGGAAGAUACGUCUUAUGAAAAUUAGGUUUGGUGACCAAUUUACCCUUUAUCUUUUUUAUAAUGACAACAAACACACAUGUCAAAACUUCCUUUUCUAAUAUAUAGAAAAAUAAAUAAAAAAAUAGGAAAAAAGUAUUCUGAUGAUGUUGUGAUGGAUGAAUCCUAGGUUGUUGAAAAUCUCAUCUUGUUGUCAAAUAGCCCAGGAAAGAGAUUUGCUGAUCACAAGAAAACUGAUAUAAGUAAUCCACCAAAAAUUUCAGGAGAAUGGUCUAGAAGUUUUACUGAGAAACAACUGACUCUUGAGGGACCUGGUCCCGAGAAGAGAAAAGUAGCUAAAAGAGAAUCUGUAAUCACUUAAACCAAAAGAAAGAAUAGGGAGAAAAAUAAGAGUAUAUGUAAUAACCCGAGGCUACCCCCUAGUCGCGACAACGAUGCUUAUGAUCACAAAUGACCACAAGCUAACCCAUGAGCUGGUACCUGCUGUGAGUACUGAAUAAAAUGAGAAUAGUACAUGUGUAUGGAAUAUAGUCUGCUAAAUGUAAUAUUAAUUUGAAUACUGAAAAUAAGGUUCAAUAAUAAGUCUGAUGAAAAUAUUAAAAAUCUAACUGUCUAUUUAAAACACAUGUGAACACUGAAAAGACUAAUCAGCUGAAAACUGUCUAACUGACUGUCUAAUUGUCUGAAAAGCCUCUAAGACUGACUGAAAGGUUGAUGAGACAAGCCCCCAACUAACUUCAACUGACUAAAUGUACUAAGCUACUGAAAUAACUAAAAUAAUUAAUCCUUUCCUCGAUAGAUGAGGACUCACCACUACUACUGUUGAGUACGCUGAACUGUGUAAGCACGGUCAGGAAACUGAGUGUCCGAACCUAUGAUAUAAGACAUCAUAGCGCAAAGAAGAGUAUGUGAUCAGUACUUUGAAUAUAUUGGUAUAUGAGAUGAGGUCUUGCUAAAAUGUAUGGGGUACUGUACAUAUGAGAUAAGGACUAACUGAACAACAUGAAAUAAUUAUGCAUGAAUCAAUAAAAAAUGUAGUGUCUAAGAAUGAAAGACCAAGCAUGUACAUAUUUCUGAAAUAAUCUAAAAAUUGAAAGACUGAAAUCUGUAUAAAUGAAUAACUAUAAGUUUGUAUGCUUUGGUCAAGAAAACCUGAACUGAAUAUACACUGAAUACUAUACUGAGGCCGUGGGAGGUAUCAAUUGUAUAACCAACAUGCCCCAAUCUAAGCUAAUUGGGGUCCAACCUAUAACCCUAGUUGGAAAUGUGUCAGUACUAUGCCACGGGUACUAACACUGGCUGGCGAUGUGGAUUCCAGAAGGCUGAUGUCCCGUAGGACUAGGGAGUCAGUCCUAAUUGGUGGGUGAACCCUAAGAGAGUGUCAGUCCUAAACUGGCAGGUGACAUCUCAUAAUCCUAUACUAUCUACAUAGUUUUGGAACUUAGGGACUGCUACUAAUGACCCAGUCCUAACUGGCGGGUGAGCCCCCAUCCCUAGGUUCGCUCUGUGCUAAAUCCUACUCCCAACUGAACUGACACUGGUACUGAACUGUAUUAAGUUUAACUGAAUAUUAUUUUUGAUAAUGUUCAUCUUAAUAAUAAUAACUAAAUAAGUAAGGAUAUUCGUGGCUUAAUUGAAUCAUACUUGAAAAUCUGAAAAUCAUACAAGACACGUAGGUAUUGGGUAUUCAUAACCCACAACACUAAGUGAUCAUUAAAAAUAUAACGUUUAAACUUAAACUGUAAUAUUACAUCAUGGUUCAACUCAAAACAUUGGCAUUUUACUAAACAUUUGGAAAGCAUGGACUUGCUUGUACAUGGGGAUAUUUUAAACAUGAAGUUCACUUGACUAAGACAUGGGAAACUGAAAUUCAUAGCAUGAGGAAUUCAAAUCUUGCAUGGAAUUAUACAUGGACUUAAUUGCAUUUAAAUUACCAUGGAAACAUGAAUUUAACCCAUCUUAAGCAAUAUAAAAUACAAUAAUGAUAGAAAAGUCCAUUCUUUAAUUGAAAAAAAGGUUUUUGGGCUCCAUGGGUGAAGGGGACAUGUGGAUGAACACCCCAAAUACCUUAAGCUUUUAACUUGAACAAGAAACACCAAUAUUGAUACUUUUUGAAGGUUCUUAAACUUGGGGAACUUGAAUUAUUGAUUUCUUGGGGAGAAAGGAAUUGAAUUCUUAUUUUUGGGGGAAGAAGAGGGUUUUCUUGAGAGGAAAAUUGGAGAAGAAAGGCAAAAUUAUGCCCUAACUGAUGCCCAAGUUGUGUUAUGAAUGAUUGGGUUGAGGAGGAAAAAACCUAAUUGCCCCCAGUCAUUUAAAUACAAAACUGGAUGUAACAAGCUUACCAUGAUGCGGUUUAUCGUGGUAGUGCAUUUCCCUCAAUGCGACGCGGUCUGUAUGCCAUCGGGACUAAUGUGGCAUCAUGGUAUUAUCGUGGUAACCCACUUGUUUUGGAUCCAAACAUGACCUAAACCCCGUUUGAAAAACCCAAAACUUCUCUAAGACAUGUUUCUCACAUCCCUGAACAUUAAUUAACUCAAAAACCAACAUUUCGGGGUCAGGAAGACUAAGUUAAAAAUCCUUCAAGUUUAGAAGCCUUAAAAAUAACCAAGUCCCCAACACUUGUUGAAAUUUGCAGGCCUUAAUCCCCUUAUGCAUGCAACUAGAAGUUGAACUAAGCUAAGAAUAAUAUGGGGUAUUACAAUAUCUCCCUCUUGGGAACAUUCAUCCUCGAAUGAGACUGGUUAGAUUGAGAGUACUGAACUAAGGUAAAUAAGAUCACAUACUAAACAUGCAUGACUGGAAACAUGAUUACAUAACUGAAUCUGAAGCAUGAUACGUGAACUGAGCUGAUGUCGUGAAUGCAUGCAAUACACGAGGAUGUUUAAAUAGCUGGAAUUGAGAAUGGAAAAAACUCAAUCUAAGGAAAAUAGUUACCUCAAGCUAAGCUUGAGUUUGCGAAGAAAAGAUAAGGGUACUUGGUAUGCAUAUCUGCUUCUGCUUCCCAAGUAUCUCCCUUAAUGGACUGAUUCUGCCAUAGGAUUUUAACCAAGAGAACUUCUUUGUUCCCUAGUCUACGAAUCUGACGAUCAAGGGUCUCAACUGGGACUUCAUAUUAGGAAAGACUAUUCUAAACAUCUAUACUGUCUAAAGGAACAACAUCAGCUGAAUCGCCAAUACAUUUCUUUAACAAAGAAAUAUGAAAUACCGGAUGAAUUGAUGCCAAAUCUGUAGGCAACUCUAGCUCAUAAUCUAUCUUCCUAAAAUGGUUCAAGAUUCUAUAAGGACCAGUAAAUCAGGGACUCCCCUUCUUAUCAAAUCUCUUCACCCCUUUCAUGGGGGAUAUUUUAAAAUAGACUUAAUCACUAAUAUCAAACUCAAGAUCUCUUCUCCUCACAUCUGCAUAAGAUUUUUGACAGCUUUGGGCUGUCUUAAACCUCUCCCUAAUUAACUAAACUUUCUCCAUCGCAUCAAACACUGAAUCUAGCACUAUCAAAGUAGCCUCACCUACUUCAAACCAACCAAUAGGAGACCUACAUCUUCUCCCAUAGAGAGCCUCAAAUGGAGCCAUCUGAAUAUUGGAGUGAUAACUACUGUUGUAGGCAAACUUAAUCAAAGGUAUAUGGUCAUCCCAAAUACCUUUAAAAUCAAUAGCACAUGCUUUUAACAUGUCUUAUAAGGUUUGAAUGGUCCUCUCUGCCUGAUCAUCUGUCUGAGGAUGAAAAGUUAUAUCGAGAUAAACUUGGGUACCAAGACCCUUCUGAAAAGCCUUCCAAAAGUGAGAGGUAAAUUUAGUACCUCUAUCUGAAAUAAUAGAUAAAUAAACUCCAUGCAACUUAACCAACUCUCUAAUAUAAAGCCUAGCCUAAUCCUCAGCUGAGUACAAAGUAUGAACUGGCAAGAAAUGAGUUGAUUUAGUCAUUAUAUCCACAAUGACCCAUAUCGAAUCAUGCUAUCAAUGUGUACAAGGCAAACACAUCACAAAAUCCAUGUUCACCACUUCCCAAUUCCAAGUGGGGAUGCUAAACUCUUGCAACGAACCACUAGGCCUAUGGUGCUCAACUUUAACUUGUUGACAAUUUGAACACUUAGCCACAAACUUUGCAAUAUCCUUCUUUAUACCAUUCCACUAAUAGAUUUCCUGUAAGUUACGGUACAUCCUUGUGGCUCCUGGAUGAAUGGAAUAUAGCACACUGUGCGCUUCUACCAAAAUUCACUGGCUGAAGUCAUCAACACAUGGAACACAUAACCUACCCUGGCAAUGCACUAUCUCCCCCUUGGGAAAAAACCUCUACUUUCUGAUCUCUGAAUGAUUCCUUCAAUCUAACUAAACUGGGAUCCCUAUCUUGAUAUUCCUUCAUUUCGGCAACUAAAGAAAAUUCUAAACCCAUAUACUACCUUCAGCUAAAUCAACCAAUCGGACACCCAAUCUAGCAAACUGAUGAACCAUCCUGACCAACUUCUUCCUAUCAUCCUCAACAUGGGCAACACUAUCUAUAGCUAAGGGCAUCUGUCACCACAUUGGCCUUGCCCAGAUGAUACAACAUACUCAUAUCAUAAUCUUAUAGCAACUCUAGCCACCUUCUCUGUUGAAGAUUCAAAUCUUUCUACAAGAAUACAUACUGCAAACUUUUAUGAUCCAUGAACAUAUCAACAAGAACCCUAUAAAGAUUGUGCCUCUAAAUUUUCAAGGAAAAAACAAUAGCUGCCAAGUCAAGAUCAUGGGUAGGAUAAUUCUUUUCAUGGGCUUAAGCUGUCUAGAGGCAUAUGCUAUGACCUUAUCUCUCUACAUCAAUACACAACCAAGACCAACUCUAGAAGUAUUACAGUAAACUACAAAUCCAUCUGAACCAUCUGGUAAAGUCAAUACUGGGGAUAAAGUGACUCGAGUAUUCAACUCCUGAAAACUCUUCUCACAUAAAUUUGACCACUGAAAUUUGACUUUCUUCUGAGUCAAUCGAUACAUAGGGGAUACAAUAGAAGAAAACCCUUUAACAAACCAUCUGUAAUAGCCAGCCAAACCCAAGAAACUCCUGAUAUCUGAUGGAGAGAUGGGUCUAGACCAGUUUCUCACCGCUUUGAUAUUUUAAGGGUCAACUCUAAUGCCAUCACUUGAAAUAAUAUGGCUAAGAAAAUCUACUGAUCUUAUUCGAAAUUUGCACUUUUUGACUUUGGCGAACAACUAAUGGGCUCUAAGAGUCUACUAUACAAUUCUGAGAUGGUCUGUAUGAUCAUUCUCACUAUAGGAAUAGAUAAGAAUACCAUCAAUGAAGACUAUGAUAAACAUGUCCAAGUACUGCUUGAACANNNNNNNNNNNNNNNNNNNNNNNNNNNNNNNNNNNNNNNNNNNNNNNNNNNNNNNNNNNNNNNNNNNNNNNNNNNNNNNNNNNNNNNNNNNNNNNNNNNNNNNNNNNNNNNNNNNNNNNNNNNNNNNNNNNNNNNNNNNNNNNNNNNNNNNNNNNNNNNNNNNNNNNNNNNNNNNNNNNNNNNNNNNNNNNNNNNNNNNNNNNNNNNNNNNNNNNNNNNNNNNNNNNNNNNNNNNNNNNNNNNNNNNNNNNNNNNNNNNNNNNNNNNNNNNNNNNNNNNNNNNNNNNNNNNNNNNNNNNNNNNNNNNNNNNNNNNNNNNNNNNNNNNNNNNNNNNNNNNNNNNNNNNNNNNNNNNNNNNNNNNNNNNNNNNNNNNNNNNNNNNNNNNNNNNNNNNNNNNNNNNNNNNNNNNNNNNNNNNNNNNNNNNNNNNNNNNNNNNNNNNNNNNNNNNNNNNNNNNNNNNNNNNNNNNNNNNNNNNNNNNNNNNNNNNNNNNNNNNNNNNNNNNNNNNNNNNNNNNNNNNNNNNNNNNNNNNNNNNNNNNNNNNNNNNNNNNNNNNNNNNNNNNNNNNNNNNNNNNNNNNNNNNNNNNNNNNNNNNNNNNNNNNNNNNNNNNNNNNNNNNNNNNNNNNNNNNNNNNNNNNNNNNNNNNNNNNNNNNNNNNNNNNNNNNNNNNNNNNNNNNNNNNNNNNNNNNNNNNNNNNNNNNNNNNNNNNNNNNNNNNNNNNNNNNNNNNNNNNNNNNNNNNNNNNNNNNNNNNNNNNNNNNNNNNNNNNNNNNNNNNNNNNNNNNNNNNNNNNNNNNNNNNNNNNNNNNNNNNNNNNNNNNNNNNNNNNNNNNNNNNNNNNNNNNNNNNNNNNNNNNNNNNNNNNNNNNNNNNNNNNNNNNNNNNNNNNNNNNNNNNNNNNNNNNNNNNNNNNNNNNNNNNNNNNNNNNNNNNNNNNNNNNNNNNNNNNNNNNNNNNNNNNNNNNNNNNNNNNNNNNNNNNNNNNNNNNNNNNNUUACACUCCCACGAGAGCUGUAGAUUGAGCGUUAUCAAUUACUUUGUUGAGCAUUAAAGUAAUUUCCUUGAGACUGCUACUAAAAGUGUUAACUCUAUCCUUAGUUGAUAUCCUUUGAGAAUUUGGGGUGAUUCUUCCAAUUAUAAUUGUAUGUGUUACUAAAAUUUUAAUUUCCUUCUUUCUACGCAUUACCCAUAAAAUUAACCAAUUCUAUAUUUUCUCCACUCAAUUUGACUGAAUGAUCACUACCUCUACUAAAUUUACACUAACUAGGAAUUGGUUGCAAUACAUUUAUUAUGCCUAUGGCUAAGCCAAUUUUAACUUAUUGAGUAAGUAAUCAUAUAUUUAUAAAAAGCAACUAGCUGUGCAGCCAAUGUUGUGAUCCUAUCGACAUCUAACAUACCUGCAACCUUUUUUACCAUACCUCUAGAAGCAUCUACGUUCCACUCUGGGUUGCCCUAUGCAAAAUGAUAUGAAAGAGUGUACAUCUCAUUAUAAGUCUACUAUAGAGCUUGACCCCCUUUUACUGAAUCUAAUAAUAUUUUUGUGUAUGAGUCAAGACUUUCUAUAAAGGUGUGAGCUAGAAAAUGAUUUGUUUGUUGGUUGAUGAUUGGAAAUCCCUGAUAAUAUAUUUAAAUCCGUCCAUGCUAAUAUAAGUUUUCAUCUAGUUUCUACUUAAAAUUAAAUAUCUUAUAUCUCAACUUUGUUGUAUUUUCAAAUAGAAAGAAUCACAUCAAGAAUUUCCUUGAAAAGUCAUCCCAUAUUGUGAUGAAAUUAUGUCACUCUACCUUUAACCACCUCUUUACUUCUAUGACAAGAGAAAAUGAGAAAACUAUAAGCCUUGCGUGGUUAGUCAAGACUCGUGUAGGUAUAUAAGUGUCAUUGAUCUCUAGAAAAUUUUGCAUGUGUUGUUAUAGAUCCUUAUGUGAGAGACCUAUAAGCACCCGCUAUUAUGAAACAAUUUAACCAUGUAUGUUUAAGCUCAAAUUGACCCCCUAGAUCUGUAGAUGUUGGAGGUGACAUUAGUAGCGAGUAGGAUUUCCACUUCAUGAACUGGUCUUCCUACCAUUUUUGUCGGAAUGACCUUGUCAUGUUGAACCUACUAGAUUAGGAAGACAAGAGCAACCUUUCUUCUUAGCUAAUAGAAUCAUCAUUUAGGUUCAAUAUUGGGUCAACUAAAUCCCUAUUUGGCGCUAAAUUGUUGUAAGGACAAUCCUAUAUCUGGAAAAUCAACAACUAAGACCAAGUACUUAAUACCUGUUGAUGAUAGGCGAAAUUACGCGCCUAUAUCAAUAUAUUUUGCCCAUAUUUUAGCCUAGUUUCGAGAACUAAUUAUCUAUUUCGUACACUUUUAGUCCUUUUUCCUGUAAAUGAGCUAACAAAUGUGAUUAGGAAAGUUUCAGGUAUAAAUGAUGCAAAAUACAGCAAUUUAUGGCUUACUUGACGCAAAAGAAAGCUCACAAACGAGAUGGAAAGGAGCUGGACGCAUAAAGGACUAAAUCUGCUGCAUGGAAAAUCUGUCCCGGGCUAAAACAGCAUUUCUGAAGACUUUGGGACUUACAGACACAAAGCUGGAUUUUUGCCAUAAUACAUUAACCUAGUGCAAUUAGGUUAUGUGUUUCAUCAUUCUAUUUGGAUUAUAAUUUUGUAACCUUACCCUAGUACAAUUGGGUCAAGGAUUUCAUUAGUAUAUUAGGAUUUGGUUAUUUAUUUUAUUAGUUUAGUAGGAGUAGGAUAGGAGUAUUAUAAAUACCCUAUCAUGUUAGAGAUUUUAGAGAGGGGGGAGACAUUCUGACAAUUCUUUCAUCUCCUUACAAUUAAGACAUCUUCCUACAACCCAUUCUCAAUUCUUCAUUCUUCUACUCUUAAAUUCCACAACAAGAGAAUCGUUACUUGCUACGGAAUCACUAAAACCACACGCCAAACACCUACUAUUCACACCAUCCACCAUGCAAAGCGUGAUAUCCUUCGCAUUCAUGGGUAACUAAAUCUCUUAGUUGGGGUUAUGGAAGCCGAAUGAGUUACUAUCUAUAGCUAUGAGUUUGUGAGUUCAAGACAAGUAUAUUGCUUAUAUCAUUAUUCUCUUCAUCUUAAAUCUACAUUCUUUGCGGUUCAAACACAAGAACACGCCAUUCUAACAUCUAACCUGUUCGAGAGAAAGGUUAUUUGUCUAGAAAAGAAGACGCAUAGACCAACGCCAGUCUAACAUCUGACUUGUUCGAGAGAAAAGUUAUUUGUCUGGAAAAGAGAUAAUGUCAAGGUAGUAGGACACCCUUUCCUAUUAAAAAGCUAGUGCCGUACCUGGACUAACUUCUUGGAGAAUUCGUACCGUUAGUCACGCUUUAAGCUCGAGAGAGUUAAAGUGAAAUAGUACUUGUUUAGGUCGAGAGACGCUUGGAUUUAACAUCGACUACAAUUCUCUAUAAGCAAUUACAUGUCAAGACUCUACACACUCAUAGCCAAUAGAGACGUAUACCUCAGAAGGUGGACAUAACCCCAACGCCUCAAUUCUCAUUGUUUACAACACACGUGACAAUCUCUCUUUAUUUUGCUAUUUUCAGUUCUUACAUUCUUGUUUUGGUUACAUACUACAAUCCCCCCUUUCCUACGAGACUUGCACUAAAAGUCUAGUAAUUUCUCUUGCUUGUUGGCCAAGCUAUUCUCUGUGGGAUCGAUACCCAACCCAGGUUGGGUUCUAUAUUUGCUAACGACCGCUUUACACUCCCACGAGAGCUGUAGAUUGAGCGUUAUCACCUGUACAAUAAAGUAGUAAAUCUAAAACUAACACUUUGCUAAAUUCUUUGUCCCCUAAACUGCGCCAGGAAUAUGUUGUGUCCAUAUCUAUAUGCAAGUGUAUGCGGUCAUACAAACAACACAGUGACUUUUACAAUCAGAAUAUCAAAUCCACGAGAACUUGUGAUUUAUCAACUAUCCAAUUCACGUAACACUGAGAGAUUAAACAAGUAUAGUUAUAACCAUGAAAUUAGUCAAGAUUUAUAAAUCUAAAACUUUAAAUAAAAGUAAGGACAUAAUUAAAUAGUUUGUAAUUAUUAUUAAGGAGAAUUCCAAAGUUAAGGCAUGAUUUGCAAUCAUGUAUAUCAAUUCUUUCUGAUCGAUUAAGUUUUGUAUCUGAUUGUUGAUUUAUAGGUUAAUAGUAUGACUAUGGUCUUUUGAACCUCCAAUAUUUUUCCAAAAUUGACCUUGCAUUUACAUUAAUUGAGUGGUAAUUCAAAAACCCAAGCUAGGUGUUAUAUGAUUUCAUCCCAUUUUCAAACCUCAUGGGAUGUAUUAGGUAUAUUCCUAUCCUAAAUGCAAAUCUAGCCCGUGUUAAAGGCAAGAUCUCAUCCCCCGGAUUCUUUAUUCUAUCCUAGUGAUUCUUCUGCUGGAUUCACACAAGAAUUAUGUAUUUAUUUUAAUGGCCACAAAUAAAAAAAGGAAUAUAAUAAUAACAAAUGUGAUUAAGAAACUUAAGCUAAGUAAAAAAUAUGUUAUACAAUCAUGCUUGUAGCCCCCAAUCCUAUGAUGAGGAUUUUUAAUCACUCAUAGUCUAAAUUAAACUUACAAAUUUAAUAUGGUUCAUAUAUUUAUAAAAUAAUAAAAAAUGGAUAGGAAUCCUAGUUAGAAGCCUCCUUGAUGCUUUUCUAGACUCAAAGACAUGGUAGGUUCUUGCAGAAUUAAUUGAGUGUCCUAGUUAAGCAAAAUGUAGAAAAUUGUAGCUGAAAUAUUACAGUGGAGUUACACUACUGUCAACUCAGUCUUGAGCAUCAUGGAACAUUUCCAACACAUGAUGGGAAGAAGCAGGGCACUUGUCCAUAGUGCCAAGGGAAGCAACAGGGCACUCCACCAAUACAAACCUAUUUUGAUUUGGCUGCCUCACUUCUCAAAAUUUUCAUCCUUGCUCCAUGACACAACAGAGAAUGGACUAUACCUCCUUAAUAUAAGGGAUCACCUUCCAAUACCAUUUUAGAUCAUAUAAUUUCUUAUGAGGUUGCAUUUAACCUUCGAUUUCAAAUUACAUCAAUCAAAAUGCGUUUCCAACCUACAAAAAGUCUAAUCAUGUAAUUAGUUUAUGUACAAUAUUUUAUCAAAAUAUUUGAGAAUAUAAUAAAAAUUAUUCAAGAAUUAAGAUUAAAUAUUGAUAAAAAGUAGUACUUGGACAUAUAAAUAUUCUCAAGAUUAAUGACUUCUUAUUAAAUCAUCUUAUUUAAAAUCAACCAAUAUUCAUUCAAGAUCAAAUCAAAACUCUAACCUAUUAAACCAAAACCAACCCACGCCCUAUCCAUUAACAAAAUAUCUGACCCAAAGCCUAACUCAGUCUCAUUUUAUCCCUCCCAUAGAUGGAUCAGAUAGCCAAAAUCAAUUACUAAUCAAAAUUUCAUAAUAAUAUUUUAAUAUGAAAUGACCUAAGAAGAAACCCAUGUAUUUUUCAUUCUUCCUCCUUCUCUGAGGAGUGCAACCCAUUCCCUAACUCCAAACUUAGUUCAUCUAUUAUUAUCUUCUCCAGUCAUCCAAAUUUGAUUCCUAAAUUAAAUUAUUUUUAUAAAUAUAUUUAGGAUCGAGUGACUCAAAUUGUUCAAAGAAAAGUGUCAUUGCGAACUUAAUGUCAAUUUCUUCAUGGUGUGGAUGUUGAACAACUUUGGUAGACUAUUUAUCCAAUAUCAUAUAACCAAGGUAGGUUUAUUUUGGAUUAGUAUUUCUUUGAUUAUAAAUAAUUUUUGAAUUAUUUUCCUAAUUUAAUUAUUUUUUAUAUAGAAUCAAUCGUAUAAUUUUGAGAUGUGGAUGAUGAAAAAUUUCCCCCAAGAGAUAUGGAAUAUCACCAGGAAUUACAAAAAUAAAUUAAAUAUUUGUGAUAUUGAAAGGAAUAAUUUGAUGAAGAACAUAGCCAAUCUUUAAGUUUCUAAUGGUAAUGAUGUUGUAAAUAUAAAAUAGAUAGAAAAAAUAUUGAGAUGAUAGUUGAUUUUAAAGUUUUGACGGCUAUGGAUUAUGCAUAUAUAACGGAGUUGAGAAAUAAAUUGGAUGUUCUUAAGGUUGAGAAAAAUAUAUUAGCGGUGAAGGUGACUAAAUUUUUAUUUUUAUCAUUUUGUGGAGGGUGUAGUAACUAAUCUGUUAAGAAAAAAAGUGAUGCGACAGAGAUUGAUCAUCUUGUGCUUUUCUGAUUUGCUUGUUGUUCAAUGGCAUGUGUUCUUAGAGAAUAGACCUCAACUUUUUAUUUGACAUAGCUAUAUAUAGGUUUACUCUUUCAUCCCUUUGGUACUUUAUCAAUUAUUAUGAAAGAGGGAACAACAAAUAACAUAUUUGACUUUAAUUUUGUGUUAUAAAUUUGUGGUAGAAAAGUAUUAGCCUAUAACUAUUGAGUGAGUUUAAAUUUAGGUACAUGUUCUUUUGCAAUCGAUUAGUUAAAGUCGUUUAAUCUAGAUUUAAUGUAUUGAAGUUGGACCCAACAUAUUUAUGGCAAUUAAGCUUUUUUACCAAUUUUUAUUUAGUUAUUCACUUUUGCAAAUUGGGUGGUCAGAGAUUUUAAUUUUACUCUUAAUAGGAGAGGUGAGUUUUCUUAACUAUUGAUUUCCGGUAUUGGCAUGCACAUGGGAUGAUCCAAAUUUUAAUUUUCAUUACUCUAACCUUAAAUUCAAUCCCCCAUGAUAUAUUUGUCACUCAUAAGCAUGUUUUAAUGAUUAUUCAUGGUUUGUUAGGCCCGUAUUAUAUCAUUCUUAUUAUUCUCAAAUUCAUACAUGAUUUACAUAAAAUUAGUCCAGAUUUCAAGCAUAUGAUCAAGCUAUGUAAGAUUUAUCAGUUUCAAGACCAUUAAGCACUAUUUGUUCAUGAUUUUAAACUUGAGUUAUGAAAAUUUUUAUUAUAUUCAGAUCAUUAAAUUUCUACUAUUUAGUCAUAUUAUUCAGAGCUGGUGGAUUAUAAUACCUAGGAUUUCAUGCAUGUAUUAGUUGACAUGUUUUGAGCACUUCAGAUUAUACAUGUGUUGCUAUUUGGAAAAAUAUUACUAUAUUGAUUAUAUAUAUAUAUAUAUAUAUAUAUAUAUUGAUACAUAUAUAUAUACAUAUCAUUUUUCAGUGUCGUUCUUAGUUAUUAGUAACAGUCCGGAAGUUCCAAAACUAUAGCACCACCCUAGUUUACAAAGGGUCCUUCUUCAGUUGAUGCAUGACACCUUAUUCCUUCAAGAUAUUAGUUUUGUGGAUCCAUGCCAAUCAAUGUUGGUACCCUUGGCAAGAUGCUAGCACCUUUCUAACUGGUGUUAUAGGUUGGACACCAAUUUGCUUAGAUUGGGUUAUGUCGGUUACUGUUAGCUCCCACGGUUCUCAGUUUAUGUUUCAACUUUAGAUUAUGCCUGACCCUGUAUUUAGUUAUUUUGUUUCAUUCAGUACAUGCUUACACUUGGUCGUUGAAAUAGUUCACAUCCCAUAGUUUUAGACCCAAUAUUCAUACAUUGAUCUCAGUUUAGUUUUAGUUUGUUUUAUAUUAUUAAUCUUUAGACUAUCACAUCUUUUACCUACAAACAUGUUUUAAAUGUAUAUACUACAGCAAAUGGCUUAAAUUCCAAGUUUGAAGGUAUAUUUUAAGUAUUUCUAUUACUACUGCAUAUCCCACAUACUUAGUACAUUUCAAAGUACUAAUCGCAUACCUCUUCUGCCAAUAUUUUUUAUGUGAUGUAGAUUCAGGUUCUUACUCUCAGGAUCAUAGUCAGGCAGAUUACAACAUUUCGCUAACCGAUGAUGAUUUCUCUUAUUUUGAGAAUUCAAGUCUAUUACAGUUCUUGUAUUUUAUUUUCUUAUACAUAUGUAUUGAUUAGGGAUAGUUGAGGUCAUGCCUGGACUAUUUGUAGUCAGUAUUAGUCGAGGCUUCAUAUAUAUUUGUUAGAGUUAUUGUAAGUAAUUCAAGUUCCUUCUUCGUAUUUUAGUGUAAAGUUUGAAUAAUAUAGUUUUCACCUAUUUGUAAAGGAAGUGUCAAACUCCUAGGAUCCUUUAGCAUGUUUGGAAGCCUUCUCAUUACCCUUGAACUACACUCUUUAAUAAGUGGCACAGUUUCGACUCUUCAAGUUGUCUUCUAUUUUCCACCACAUCUCUCAAAUACCUUGCAUAAUUUGGCAUCUCCUUAAAAACAUUAGUUAGAUGAGUGUUUAUAUAUAGUUCUAUGAAGAUGUAAAAGAACUUGUUGAAGCAUGCAUCCGCUUUGUAUUUUUUUUCAACUUUAAGGGGAUGGUGGUGGAUGUCUCUUGACUCUUCUCCAUCAAUUUGGAAACAUUUCCACAACUUUUUUUUUGGGAAUCUUGGUCUAGUAAACUCUUUUUUACUUUAUGAAUUUUCUAUAUUUUAAGUACUUCAUCUAUGUCUUGCCACUCCUUAAAGUGAUUAUGAUUACUUUCCAGGUAUUUGGAUCUGUAUCGCUUAACAAAUUUUCUUGAGGCCUUGUGUUUUAAGCCUUGGCUAAAUAGCCCACUUUCUUGUCUAAAUUAUUGGUGGUAAGUUGCUAAUUCUUUAUGCUCGUAGCUAUUUUUGUAUUUAACCAUAAUCUUCUUCAAUAUCCCUUCAAUAUUACUUUGUUGAGCAUUAGAGUAAUUUCCUUAAGACUGCUACUAAAAGUGUUAACUCUGUCCUUAGUUGACACCCAUUGAGAAUUUGGGGUGAUUCUUCCAGUUAUAAUUGUACGUGUUACCAAAAUUUUAAUUUCCUUCUUUCUAUGCAUUACUCGUAAAAUUAACUAAUUCUAUAUUUUCUCUACUCAAUUUGACUGAAUGAUCACUACCUCUACUAACUUUGCACUAAGUAGGAAUUGGUUGCAAUACAUUUAUUAUGCCUAUGGCUAAGCCAAUUUCAACUUAUUGAAUAAGUAAUCAUAUAGUUCUGAAAAGCAACUAACUGUGCUUCCACUGUUGUGAUCCUAUCGACUUCUAACAUACCUACAACCUUCAUUACUAUACCUCCAGAAGCAUCUACAUUCCACUCUAGGUGGCCCUGUAAAAAUUAAUUUGAAAGAUUGUACAACUCAUCAUAAGUCUACUUUAGAGCUUGAUCUCUUCUACUAAAUCUAAUAAUAUUUUUGUGUAUAAGUCAAGACUUUCUAUAAUGGUGUGAGAUAGAACAUCAUUUUUUUGUUGGUUGAUGAUGGGAAACACCUAAGAAUAGAUUUAAAUCUAUCCAUGCUUGAUAUAUGUUUUCAUCCAGUUUCUACUUACAAUAAAAUAUCUCAAAUCUCAACUUUGUUGAGAUUUCAUAUAGGAAGAAUCGGAUCAAGAACUUCCUUGCAAGGUCAUCCCAUGUUGUGAUGAAAUUGUGUGGCUCUACCUUUAACCACAUCUUAACUUAUCCAAAAUGAGAAAUUAAGAAAAAUAUGAUCCUUACAUGGUUAGUCAAGACUCUUGUAGGUAUAUAAGUGUCAUUGAUCUCUAAAAAAUUUUGCAGGUGUUGUCAUAGAUCCUUAUAUGAGAGAUGAAACUGUAACGACCCAAAAUAUUCUCUCGGGACAUCACACGGUGCCUAAGGAUACGAGUAUUCCCAAGAUAAACCUUAGAGUCAGUUUCCACCAAUGACACUCAAUUCAAGACAAGAAUGUACUCAACACUAGCAUAGUCAUAUCACAUAAAAGGAAAUAUAGAAAAGAUACUCAGUUCAUAAGACCACAAUAUAGAGAAAUAUCAACAAAACCACAAUAUCGAAGCCUCGACACAUCACAAGUCUAAAACUAGUCCGACAAGCCUCUACAAAUCAAAAUCUAGAGAGCCGUUGGGACAGGUCCCCAAUUGACUCGAAAAGAACUAAAGAUAAAACAUAGUCUCUCAAGUAUGGUAAAUAUCUGAAGAUCAGUCCUCGAAUCAUGAGGGCUUACCACUAUAAAAAAAAUAGGCAAGGUACUUGAAGAAUCACGGGCGAGGCUGGGACUGAGCACCUGAACCUACAUUAUGACACAAUGUAGAAUAUAGACAUAUAUGUGGAUCAGUACUUGGAAUAUACUGAGUGUGCGGAGGUGAAUGCAUAUGAAUAAAAUAGUAACAAUUUUCUUUAAUCAAAUCAUGUAUGCAUUAUGAGACGAAUCACAUGGCUUGAACAAGUAUAAAUUAUAAAGCUUGUAAGUCAUGUAGAAUGGAGAAUGUAACACAAAUCUCAUGAGUCAUCAUUGUUUAAUGUAAUACUCCAGGAAAUUUUUCGUUGAAAUUUUGUGCGUAAAUGUGUCAGGUUCUAUCUUCUAGAAUGAAUUAUAAUUUUUUUCGUGUGUAAUGUCUUAUAGUAUGACCCACCAUUGCGUAGAGUAUCGAAUAAGCUUUCCAACGAUAUAUGGAUCAUCCAAAAUGGACACCCAAGCGAUGAGUUAUGAACAUUCCGAUCGAACUGUGAAUAGUAGUAAACAGUAAAACGUGCAGGAAAAAGUACUGAGGCCUGGCGUAUUUUUGCUCCAACUUUAAACAAUCAUAACUCCUUGUACAUAAUUAUCUGGGUGAUCUACUAUAUAUCAAUGAAAAUCUCUGUGAGCCCUCUUUCCAAUGAAAUUGGUUUCAUACAAUUUGUCUAUCGAAGAAAAAAGUUAUGGUCGAUCUAAUUCAGCCUAUCAAAAGUGAAUUUUUGGGUCAACUUCAAAUGAUCAUACCUCCUUGUACACAAUGAUCUGGGUGAGAUAAUAGUAUAUCAACAAAAAGAUAUGAGAGUCCUCUUUCUAAUAAAAUUAGUUUCAUCCAAUUUGGAUAUCCGAGUAAAACAUUAUGGUUGAUCUAUUUCAGACUAUCAAAAUAGUCCAUCAAAGAACAGAUUCGAGAAUUUACUUGAUUUUUAGGGGCGUUUUGGUCAUUCCCCCUCACCCAAAAUCCGUCCAAACCCUAUAUUAAAUCCUAUUAGAAGAAUUAUAUGUUAUAUUUCAUCAAAUUCCCUCAAAAAGAAAAUCCUAAGCUCCCUAAGCUCCUACAUCCAACUUCAAGAACCUCCAAAGUUCACCAUUAAUUCUGCAAAUUUAUUCAAGAUUCCAAGUUCCUAGUUCAAGAACUCCAAGAACCAUCAUUCAAAGGCACGAUUAACAUCUCAAAAAUGAGUAUCGAUCUAAAGUUCAUCAUUCAAGGUAUGUGGGGUUUUUUAACAAGAACUCUCUUUCGUUCUUGUGCCCAAAAGUAAUUUUCUUUACAAAGGCAUGAUUUUUAUUUGAUUUUUAUGAAUUUGAAGCAUGAACCCAUAUCUUAUGAUGAUUAUUAUGAAAUCUUGAUGUUUAUGAUUUUGAAAGAUGAAUUUACAUGUGUGGAGAUAUAAAGCAUGAAUCUUGAAUGAUAUUUAUCAUGAUUUUGAUAUUUGGAUCGUGAAUCCCCAUUGGAAAUUGUGAUUUUUGAGAAAGUGUGUGUUAUAAGUACGUUGAUAUUGAAUAUUUGAGAUAUUUUGAAUGAUUUCACUUUCUGAUCUUAAUGGAGUUGUUUUGAACUCGAGUGUGAAAGAAAUCUACAAGGUGGUUAAUUUUGAUAGAUUGGAAGCAUGAUGGCUCCCGAUGUAUAUUUAUAUAUUACUAAAAAUUGUUUUGCUGUAAAUUAUCUUUGAAAUGAUCUGAGCUAAGUCCGGGAGAAAUAUUUAGCACCGAGUGGGAGGUAUAAAGUGACCUUACUUCCCUAGAACUACGUGCCCCCAUAGGGGUGAUCCUGAGGCUGAUAUAUAGAGUGAUCAUAGUUUGUGUGGAUUUGAUAUCGAUAGUCCUACUUCGAUGGCAAGGAUAGGACGGCUCUCCCCAACGUGGGUUGUAUGUUGGACUCCAUGUAGCUCACAUGGUUUAUGUCGGUUAUAGGAUCUCCAAGUGUGUGUGUGUUUCCUUGUGUCUAUGGUGAACGGUGAAGUGAUUUGAAAGUGGAAUUAUUCUUUCGAAAGAUUUAAAUGAUAUUUACAUUAUGAGAAUUGAUAUUCUUGAUGAACUAAAAAUGAUUGACAAAUUAUAUGAUGACUCACAUGUGUUAUUGUACUUAUUUCAUCCUCUCAUGAUUAUGAUGAUUUUUUUGGGUUAUGUGAGUCUUUCAUACAUCCUACAUAUUUCUUAUAAAUAUUUAUGAUGAUGAUAUUUAUAAAACUGCAUACACCCCCAUAUACUAGGUUCCUCUCUAUGGUAUUGAUGCACAUCUUCGGAUGUGGGCUAUAUUUUCUCAGAAUGUAGGUUCAGGUGCUCAGUUCCAGGUUUGACAGUGAUUCUUUGGGCCCGCUAUUUUAUAUCCUCUAUUGUGGUGAGUCCUCAUGUUCCGAGGAUGUGAUUUCUGAUGUUGGUUUCAUGGAAUUAUUUACAUUUGAUAACUGAGUAUAAGUCAGUUGGGGCAUGUCACAAUGGCUCGCUGGUUUUAUUGAUUUUCUUAGAGGCUUGUCAGACUAGUAUAGAUGUUAGGAGUUGACUAAUAAGUCGUAUUUUGUUAUCUUUCUGAAAUUCUUUUAUUCUUGGAUGAUGAUUACUCUAUUGAUAUUUGAGGGUUAUUUAUGAAAACCCCAUUGAUUUGUGUUGAACUGAAUGAAAAUGGCUCAAAGGGUUAGCUUGGGGCUACUCGUAGCCUCAAACAUCGUGUGACACUUCGGGACCCGUUUUCAGGGGCGUUAGAAACUUGGUAUCAAAGCCUAAGGUUUUAAGGUAUCCUAGGGAGUCUGACAAGUUGCGUUAAGUAGAGUCUUAAUCAUCGGUGUGUAGCGCGCCACAUUUAUGAGUAAGAGGCUUCAAGACAUUUUAGGAAAAAGUGUGAUUUUUUCUUUCAGAAGUCUAUUGUUAUUAAAGUGUCUCUCUCUUCUAUUGAUUCGUGCUCUUAUCUUUCAGAAAUAUGUCUCCACAUUGAGCGAGAAAAAAUAAUGAUGGUCAGCAACCUUAACCCGCUGAUCCAUUAAAUGAAAAUGUGUCUCAUGCUGAAUUUCGGGCAGCCUUUUAGGCACUGGCCCAAGCUGUUACUGCAAAUAUUCAGGCCAAAUCGACCCCAGAUCCACAGCAGCAGGGAGGUAAUUCAGCUGCUGCCAGGAUCCAUGACUUUAUGCGGAUGAAUCCAUCGGAAUUCUAUGGGUCCAAGUAUGAUGAGGAUCCAUGGUUAUUUUUAGAUGAGGUACAGAAGAUUACUCAGGUGAUGCAUGUAUCAGAGGAUCAUAGGGUGGAGUUGGCUGCGUAUAGGUUGAAAGACCUUGCUUAUGACUAGGUUGUUGCUUGGAGGAAAGGUAGAGGUGAGGGAGCUGUCCCUACAACUUGGCAAGAGUUCCAGGAUGCAUUCCUGGAUAAUUUUUUCCCUUUGAAAAUAAGAGAGGCGAAGGUGGAAGAGUUUAUGAACCUGCGACAGGGCUCUAUGACUAUUAGAAAGUACUGUCUAAAGUUCAAUUAGUUGGCCAGGUAUGCUCCUGACUUAGUGGCUGAUAAUCGGGCUAGUAUGAGUAAGUUUAUGACUGAAGUGUCAAGUUAUGUGGUUAAGGAGUAUAGGUCUGCCAUGCUGAAUAGUGAGAUAAAUUUUUCUAGGCUGAUGACUUAUGUCCAAUAGAUUGAGGCAGACAAUAUUAAGGAGAGAGAUAUAAUGAGAGGGAAUAAGAGAGCUAGGUUUGAGCAGCACGGAUAGGGUCAAACUAGAUCGCAGGGAGGGAGUCGCCCUUAGUAUCAAGACCGUUCAUCUAUGCCAGCACCAUCAUCUGCUAGUGCUACCGUACCUAGAGGUAGGAAGGAUCAAAGUAGCAGGACAUAUGCAUCCAGGUCCCAGUAUAGUACUGGCAGUAAGCCAAAUCGUCCCCUAUGUCCUAAGUAUGGUAGUGCUCAUUCGGGUGAGUGUGGGGGUGAGAAGAGGGGUUGUUUUUGAUGUGGUGACAUGGGUCACAGAGUUAGAGAUUGUAUACAAGAUGGAUAAGGGCAUCGUGACUAUCGCCCUUUGACCUAGACUCAGACUUUUAGUGCUCCAGUUCCAGCGACUCGCCCAGCCUCAGCUCAGGACGCCUCUUCCAGCAAUGCUGGAGGGUAGCGCCAGAAUAGAUUCUAUACUUUACCGUCCCACCAGGAAAAGGAGGACUCUCCCGAUGUUGUUACUGGUAUACUUUGUAUAUUUUAGUUUGAUGUGUAUGCUUUGUUGGAUCCUGGAUCCAGUUUCUCAUAUGUUAUGCCUUUGAUUGCUGUGAAUUUUGAAAUGAGUCCUGAGAUUAUUCCUGAGCCUAUCCUAGUUUCUACCCCAGUGGGUGAUUCGAUUAUUGCCCAGAAAGUGUAUAAAAAGUGUCCUGUUAUCAUUCUUCAUAGAGUCUUGUUGUUGGCUGAUCUGAUUGAGUUAGACAUAGUAGAUUUUGAUAUGAUUCUGGGUAUGGACUAGCUGUAUUCUUUUUAUGCCUCUAUUGAUUGUCAAACCUAAGUGGUCAACUUUUAGUUUUCGGGUGCAUCCAUGUUUGAGUGGUCUGGGAAUUCUGUGUCACCCAAGAGUCAUUUUAUCUGUUACCUUAAAGCUAGAAAUCUUAUUUCCAAGGGAUGUAUUUACCAUUUGGUUAGAGUUAAAGACACUAAAUCUGAGACUCCAACUCUCUAGUCUGUUAACGUUGCUAAUGAGUUUUCUGAUGUCUUUCUGGAUGAUCUCCUAGGGAUACCUCCUGACAGAGAGAUAGAGUUCGGGAUUGAUCUUCUUCCUGAUACUCAGCCCAUUUCUAUUCCUCCUUACCGUAUGGCCCCUUCAGAACUUAAAGAGUUGAAAGAGCAACUCAAAGAUCUACUAGAUAAGAGUUUCAUAAGGCCCAGUGUUUCUCCUUGGGGUGCUCCUAUGUUGUUUGUGUGAAAGAAAGAUAGCUCUUAGCGUAUGUGCAUUGAUUACCGCCAGUUGAAUAAAGUCACCAUAAAAAAUAAGUACCCCCUUCUGAGAAUAGAUGAUUUGUUUGACCAAUUGCAAGGUGCAAGUUAUUUCUCAAAGAUAGCCCUUUGUUCUGGCUAUCAUCAACUCAAAGUUAGGGAGUGUGAUAUCCCAAAAACCGCUUUCUGAACUCGUUAUGGCCAUUUUAAGUUUCUUGUUAUUUCUUUCGGGUUAACUUAUGCCCCAACAGCUUUCAUGGACCUCAUGAAUCGUGUGUUCAGGAUCUACUUCAGACUACCAAAACAGUCCACCAAAGGACAGAUUCGAGAAUUAUUUGAUUUUUAGGGGUGUUUUGGUCAUUCCCCCUCACCCAAAAUCUGUCCAAACCCUAUAUUAAAGCCUAUUAGAAACAUUAUAUGUUAUAUUUCAUUAAAUUCCCUCAAAUAGAAAACCCUAAGCUCCUACAUCCAACUUCAAGAACCUCCAAAGUUCACCAUUAAUUCUGCAAAUUUAUUCAAGAUUCCAAGUUCCUAGUUGAAGAACUCUAAGAACCAUUAUUCAAAGGCACGAUUAACAUCUAAAAAAAGAGUAUCGAUCUAAAGUUCAUCAUUCAAGGUAUGUGGGGGUUUUCAAAAAGAACUCUCUUUCAUUCUUGUGCCCAAAAGUAAUUUUCUUUACAAACGCAUGAUUUUUAUUUGACUUUUACGAAUUUGAAGCAUGAACCCGUAUCUUAUGAUGAUUAUUAUGAAAUCUUGAUGUUUAUGCUUUUGAAAGAUGAAUUUACAUGUGUGGAGAUAUAAAACAUGAAUCUUGAACGAUAUUUAUCAUGAUUUUGAUAUUUGGGUCGUGAAUCCCCAUUGGAAAUUGUNNNNNNNNNNNNNNNNNNNNNNNNNNNNNNNNNNNNNNNNNNNNNNNNNNNNNNNNNNNNNNNNNNNNNNNNNNNNNNNNNNNNNNNNNNNNNNNNNNNNNNNNNNNNNNNNNNNNNNNNNNNNNNNNNNNNNNNNNNNNNNNNNNNNNNNNNNNNNNNNNNNNNNNNNNNNNNNNNNNNNNNNNNNNNNNNNNNNNNNNNNNNNNNNNNNNNNNNNNNNNNNNNNNNNNNNNNNNNNNNNNNNNNNNNNNNNNNNNNNNNNNNNNNNNNNNNNNNNNNNNNNNNNNNNNNNNNNNNNNNNNNNNNNNNNNNNNNNNNNNNNGAGGCUGAUUUAUAUAGUGAUUACUAGUUUGUGUGGAUUUGAUAUCGAUAGUCCUACUCCGAUGGCAAGGAUAGGAUGGCUCUCCCCAACGUGGGUUGGAUGUUGGAGUCCAUGUGGCUCACAUGGUUUAUGUCGGUUUUAGGAUCUCCCAGUAUGUGUGUGUUUCCUUAUGUCUAUGGUGAAUGGUGAAGUGAUUUGAAAGUGGAAUUGUGAAAGUUAUUAUUUCGAAAGAUUUAAAUGAUAUUUACAUUGUCAGAAUUGAUAUUCUUGAUGAACUGAAAGGGAUUAACAAAUUAUAUGAUGACACAAAUAUGUUAUUGUACUUAUUUCAUCCUCUCAUGAUUAUGAUGAUUUUCUUCGGGCUAUGUGAGUCUUUCAUACAUCCUGCAUAUUUCUUAUAAAUAUUUAUGAUGAUGAUGUUUAUAAAACUGCAUACACCCCCAUACACUCAGUUCCUUUCCCUGAUAGUGACGCACAUCUUGGGAUGUGGGCUGCAUUUUCUCUGAAUGUAGGUUCAGGUGCUCAAUUCCAGGUUCGACAGUGAUUCUUCGGGCACGCUGUUCUACAUCCUCUGUCGUGGUGAGUCCUCAUGUUCUGAGGACAUGAUUUCUGAUGUUGGUUUCAUGGAAUUGUUUACAUUUGAUAACUGAUUAUGAGUUAGUUGGGGAAUGUCUCAAUGGCUCGCUGGUUUUAUUGAUUUUCUAAGAGGCUUGUCAGACUAGUAUAGAUGUUGGGAGUUGACUAAUAAGUCAUAUUUUGUUAUCUUUCUGAAAUUGUUUUAUUCUUGGAUGAUGAUUACUCUGUUGAUAUUUGAGGGUUAUUUAUGAAUACCCUGUCGAUUCGUGUUGAACUGAAUGAAAAUAGCUCAAAGGGUUAGCUUGGGGAUACUCGUAGCCUCAAGCACUGUGUGAUGCUCCGGUUCCUGUUUUUGGAGCGUUAGAAGCAUUUGUUUUAAUUUCUCUUUCAACUCUCAUAAUUCUUUAGGGGCCAUUCUAUACAAAGGAAUUAAGAUUGGUUGAGUACCUGGAAUCACAGGAAUACCAAACUCUACCGCUUAUUCUAGAGGAAAACCUGGAAUAUCUUUAGAAAAUACAUUGGGAAAUUCAUUUAUCACUAGAAUAGUUUGAAGAGUUAGUGGCUCCGCAUCUGUAUCCUUCACUCUAACUAGAUGAUAUAUCUAACCCUCGGAAAUCAUCCCUUUUACCUAAAAAUAAGAAAUAUGUUUGCCUCUUGGUGCACCAAUAUCACCCCUUCAAUCAAGGAUUGCCUCUAUUGGAAAAUGGAAAUACACCCUCUUAGUUCGGCAAUCUACUGUGGCAUAACAAGAAGCCACCUAGUCCAUACCCAUUAUAACAUCAAAAUCUACCAUUUCUAACUCAACAAGAUCUGCCAUUAAAUCACGACAAAAACUUGUUAUGAUACAGUUUUGAUACACUCUUCAAGCUAUAAUAAAUUCACCAACCGGCAUAGACACUUCAAAUGUCUUACCUAGUAAUUCUUGUUUUCUUUUGAACUUUCUAUCAACCAAUGGAGCGACAUAUGAUAACGUAGAACCCGGAUCAAUUAAUGCAUAUAUAUUAUGUGUAAAGAUGGACAAUGUACCUAUAACCACAUUUGGAGAAGCCUCUAAAUUUUAUCGAUCCGCUAAGCAUAUGUACGAUUCUGAACUCUACUAGAGCUAGCUGCUCCUUUAGCACCUAUACUAUAACCUAUAGGUUUUACAUCCCUACCUAAAUAAGGCAUUUAUGAUGAUGAUGAUGCAAAAAUGGAUCCAGUAGGUCGUUCCAUACCACCCAUGACUCUUUGUGGGCAUUCUCUCAUUAUAUACCCCAACGCACCACACCAAAAGUAAGCAUUUGUCCCAAAUCGACAUGCACCCAAAUGAAGCUUUCCAUAUUAUAUACAUGGAUGUUGAGGAGGUAUUAAUUGGCUCAUACUCCCUUGCUCUUGAUACCCCAUUGCUCAUGACCUCUAACAUUCACUUCUUUCCCCAAAUUGAUUGCCCUUGGACCCUUAAAAUAGUAAUGAAGCACUAGCUGCAGAAUAAGAAGAUAGUGGCCUAGGCAGUCUAUUAGAAAAUUGAGGCCUCAACUCUCUUUGGGAUGCCAUAAAUUGCCCCAUAGAUCUGGCCCUCUUAGAAUACCCUAUUUCCAAUUCUUAUGUUCUUCUUCUUUGCCUCUGAUCCUCUAUUUUUUGUGCAAAAUCUUGUAUCCUUGCUAUAUCCAUGUGUUUUUUCAAGGAAACAAUAGUAAAAUAUCUAAAUAGAUAUGGAUCCAAUCUAUCCAUAUAUCGAUGGGCUCUGUCAUCCAUAGUAGUUACUACAUUAGGAGCAUACCUAGCCAAAGAGCUAAACUGGAGGUUGUACUCCCUCAUGCUUAUAUUCCAUUAGAAAAGAUUCAGCAACUGAUCAACACGGGCCUCUGAAACCUCAAAUGGAAGGUAUUGAUCAAGAAAUUCCUCUUUGAACUCUUUCCAGCUAGCCGAAGGUGCAUCGAUACCCCUAGAUCAUUUCCAAUCUUCAUACAAAAAUAUAGCCUCACCUUUGAAUCUAUAUGCUGCUAGCUCAACUGUCACUUUAACCAGUAGAUACAUGACAUCUAGAGACGUUUGUAUUUGAUAAAUAAAGUCCUAUGGAUCUUCAUUAAGAUCUGAUCUGGUGAAUGUGGGAGGAUCCAACUUAAGAAAAUCCUACGUCUAUAGGCUAGCUGCCCUUUCUGCACUACUAGAACCUAACAUGUCCUUGAGCAUGUCCAGCAACUAUACAAGUUAUCAAUUGCACCUCAUUCCUUAUAUCUUGCUUAUUAUAAUUAAUAGGUGGUUCUGAGGAUGCUGUUUCCCACCCCCUAGCUCUUCUGAAGAUGCAAGAGUAGAAGAGGUUUGUGAUACAAACUGAGCUUGGGCCUCACUUUGAUUAGCUUGUCUAGGUGGGGACUUGUUGGUCCCUUCUUCGAUAGCCAUAUCUACUUUUUUAAGUAUAUUCUUACUCCUUCUUGUAACAAGUAUCUUUACUAUAAUAAGAAGAAAAACAAAUUCAAUGGUUAAAUAUGACUUCACCUACUACUUGGACCAUAUUGCACGAUCUAAGAUGUGAAGAAAAGAGACAACCCCUAAAUGUCCCAUAGCCUUCUAUUUAUAGAUGUGGUGCACAAUACAACCAUAAGAAAAACUCUAUGUAGACAUGGCUGACAGACACCCAUAGCCGUAGAUAUCUUAUCCAUGUAAAUAUGAUAACCGAAGGUUCUGCCAAAUAUGAUACAAUGCAUCAAUGCGAACAACCAUUUGGGCAAGCACAAAAUUAAAUGUAUAAGACUUGGCUGUUGGGGCCACAACAUCUAAGAGACAAGACACUACCAUUAUUAAUUUUACAUUGGUCUACAAAGCCUCUAAAAGAUACAUAAACACUUAGUUAAGAUCGGAAAAAAACCCCCGACUUACCCUUAAUUAGUGUACAGUACCAAAAUAUAUAAAAUAGACUCAGAAAACUCCAAAAUAACUAGAUCUCACCAAUAAUCACUGGAUAUGUUAUGCUCCUACUAGCGAGGUGUAUUAGCUGAAGCACUUCUGACUGUGAAAUGUAGGCCCCCCAUGAGGGACGUUAGUACGAAAAUAUGUACUGAAUAUAUAAGGAUGAAGGUAAAUAUAUAUGAUACAAGAGAUUAAUAAAAAUCAAAUAAAUAGUGCUAGUAGACCCCCUUUAUAUAUAUUUAUCGGAUCAGGCACAUUACAUUCUUUUCUCCAUUUUACCUUUUUUUAUUCAUAAUCUUUAUAAUCUGUAUAAUACAAAUGUCUACCUGAUCAGUUGUAAAUACACAAAUUGGGAUCGGCCCAUGCUAGGGUUACGCCCUUGAGCUACCACCCAUAUAUUAAUAGAUUUGGAUCGGCCUAUUUAGGCUUUUUCCCCUAAACUGCUACCCACAUAUAAUGGCAUCAAGAUCGAGCUAUGUUAGGCUUAUGCCCCUGAGUUACCACUCGUUCAAUUAAGAUUUACGUUACAUAGUUUAUUUAGCCUUUGUGAUUGUUACUUUGGUGGUCAUGACAUUUUGGCACCUUUGAACAAUAAUCCAUUAAUAAGAGACAUGUGAAUAAACACUUAAUGCUAUAACAAAGAGAUCUAGGGCAGAUUGUACACGAAUAAAAUGUUUAGGAGUUGAAAAUAACAUAUAGGUAUUAUUUGACUUAAAGGAAAACUCUUAAGACUUUUUAGUAAAUGUAAAAAUACAAACUUGAUAAUAAUCAUGUGGUAAGGUAUUUCAACAUACUAGGGAGUGGGAGCAAGCUCCUUAACUAGAUGGGAGAUCAUAUGAUGCUAGGAACCUGUAGGCAAAAAGGCCAUAGAGCACCAACCUAUGACACUGUAAAUCUCAUACAUAAACAUAUCAUAACCAAAGGUCCUGACAAAUAUGAUACAAUACAUUAAUAAGAACAACCACGUGGGCAAGCAUAAAAUAAUAUUGACAAGUCUUGGCCAUUGGGGCCAGAAUAUCUAAGAGACAAGACAUUACCAUGCUUAAUUUUACAUUGGUAUACAAAGCUUCUAAAAGAUACAUAGACACUUGGUUAAUGUCUGGAUUAACCCCUUCCUUAGCCUCAACUACUAUACAAUACCAAAAUAUAUAAAAUAGACUCGAAAAGACCUGAAUAAACCAGGAGCUCACAAAUAGUCACUAGAUAUCCUGUGCUACUAUUAGCGAGGUGUAUUAGCUAAAGCACCUAUGCCUGCAGCAUGAAAUACAGCCCCCAUAAGGGACGUCAGUAUGAAAAUAUGUACUGAAUAUGUAAGGCUAAAUGUAACUACACAUGAAACAUGAGCUCAAUAAAAAUAAGAUACAAGUGUAUAAAUAAUGUAAGUAGACCACCUUUAUAUAUAUUUGUGGGAUCAGGUACAUUAUAAUUUUCUCUUCAUUUUUCCAUUUUUACAUCAUAAUCUUUGUAAGCGAUAUAAUACAAAUGUCCAACUGAUUAGUGGUAAACACAUAAAUUGGGAUCGACUCAUACUAGGCUUACGCCCGUGAGAUACCACCCAUAUAUAAGUAGAUUGGUAUUGGACCAUGAUAUGAUUUUUCCCCUGAGCUUCCACCCAUAUAUAAAGGUAUCAAGAUCGUGCCAUGCUAGGCUUAUUCUUCUGAGCCGUCACCCGUUCAAUUAAGAUUUGUGUUAUAUAGUUUAUUUAGCCUUUGAGAUUAUUACUUUGGUGGUCAUAACUGUCCCUUUGAACAAUAAUAUACCAAUAAGAUACAUGUGAAUAAACACUUAAUGCCAUGACAAAGAGAUAUGGAGUAGAUUGUACACGAUGAAAUAUUUAGAGAGAUAUGGAGUAGAUUGUACACGAUGAAAUAUUUAGGAGUUGAAAAUAUCAUAUGGGUCUUAUUUGACUUAAAGAAGAACUCUUAAGACUUGCUCUUGAAUGUAAAAAUAUAGGCUUGAUAAUAAGCAUAUGGUAAGGUAUUUUAACACAUUAGGGAGUGGGAGCAAGGUCAUUAGCUAAAUGGGACAUCUUAUGCUACCUGGCACUUGUAGUCGUAAAGGCCAGAAAGCACCAAUCUAUGACCCUGUACAUCUCAUGAAUGUAAAUAUGAUAACCAAAGGUUCUACCAAAUAUGAUACAAUGCAUCAAUGAGAACAACCAUGUGGUAAGCACAUAAUUAUAUAUACAAGACUUGGUCGUUGGGGCCACAACAUCUAAGAGAUAAUAUACUACCAUGCUUAAUCUUACAUUAGCCUACAAAUCCCCUAAAUAUAUAUAAACACUUAGUUAAGGUCGGGACAAACCCCCACCUUACCCUUAACUACUGAAAGUCACCAAUAGUCACUGGAUAUGCUGUGCUCUUACUAGUGAGUUCUAUUAGCUGAGGCACCUAUGCCUGCAGCAUGAAAUACAGGCCCCCCGUGAGGGACGUCAGUACAAAAAUAUGUACUGAAUAUGUUAGGCUGAAGUAACUAUAUAUGAUACAAGAGCUCAAUAAAAAUUAGAUACAAGUUUAUAAAUAGUGCUAGUAAACCCCCUUUGUAUAUAUUUGUGGGAUCAGGUACAUUACAUUCUUUUCUUUAUUUUACCCUUUUUACUUCAUAAUCUUUGUAAGACAUAUAAUACAAAUGUCCAACUGAUAAGUGGUAAAUACAUCAAAUUAGGAUCGGCCCAUGCUAGGCUUACGCCCCUGAGUUGCCACCCAUAUAUAAAUAGAUUGAGAUCGUCCCAUGCUAAUCUUUUUACCUAAGCUUCCACCCAUUAUAAAGGCAUUGAGAUCGGUCCAUGCUAGGCAUUAUACCAAUGAGAUGCCACCCAAUCAAUUAAGAAUUACAGUACAUAAUUUAUUUAGCCUUUGAUAUAGUUACUUUGGUGGUCAUAACAUUUUGGUACCUUUGAACAAUAAUCUACCUAUAAUAGACAUGUGAAUAAAUACUUAAUGCCAUGAUAAAGAGAUAUGGAGCAGAUUGUACAUGAAUGAAAUGUUUAGGAGUUGAAAAUAACAUAUGGGUCUUAUUGACUUAAAGGAGAUCUCCUGAGACUUGUUAGUGAAUGUAAAAAUCCAGACUUGAUAAUAAGCACAUGGUGAGGAUUUCAACACACUAGGGAGUGGUAGAAAGGUCGUUAUCUAGAUAGGAGAUCAUGUACUGCCAGGUACCCGUAGCCGUAAAGGCCAUAAAGCACCAACCUAUGACACUGUACGUCCUAUGCAUGUAAAUAUGAUAACCAAAGGUUCUGCCAAAUAUGACACAAUGCAUCGAUGAGAACAACCACGUGGGCAAGCAAAAAUUAUAUAUACAUGAAUUGGCCGUUGGGACCACAAUAUCUAAGAGUCAAGACAUUACCAUGUUUAAUUUUAAAUUAGUUUACAAAUAUUCUAAGAGAUACAUAGACACUUAGUGAUGGUCGGGACAAACCCCCGCCUUACCCUUAACUACUGUACAAUAUCAAAAUAUAUUGAAUAAACUUGAAAAGCCCUGAAUCAACUUGGAGCUUACCUAUAGUCACUGGAUAUCCUGUGCUUCUACUAGCGAGGUGUAUUAGCUAAAGCACCUAUGCCUGUAGCAUGAAAUACAGGCACCCAUAAGGGAUGUCAAUACAAAAAUAUGUACUAAAUAUGUAAGGCUAAUGAUAACUACACAUGAUACAAGAGCUCAAUAAAAAUAAGAUACAAGUGUAUAAAUAGUACUAGUAGACCACCUUUAUAUAUAUUUGUGGGAUCAGGUACAUUACAUUUUUAUCUGUAUUUUGCCCUUCUUACUUCAUAAUCUUUCUAAGCCAUAUAAUGUAAAUGUCCAACUGAUUAGUGGUAAACACACAAAUUGGAAUUGGCCCAUGCUAGACUUACGCCCCUAAGAUGCCACCCAUAUAUAAAAAAAUUGGGAUUAUCCCAUGCUAGGAUUUUUACCCUAAGUUGCCACCAACAUAUAAAGGUAUCGGGAUCCAUCCAUGUUAGGCUUAUACCCCUGAGCCUCCACCCGUUUAAUUAAAUUUGUGUUACAUAGUUUGUUUAGCCCUUUGAGAUUGUUACUUUGGUAGUCAUAACACUUUGGUACCUUUGAACAGUAAUCUACCAAUAAGAGACAUGUGAAUAAAUAGUUUAUGUCAUGACAAAGAUAUAUGGAGCACAUUGUACACGAAUGAUAUAUUUAGGAGUUGAAAAUAACAUAUAGGUCUUAUUUGACUUAAAGGAGAACUCUUGAGACUUGCUAGUGAAUGUAAAAAUACAGAGUUGAUAAUAAGCAUGCGGUGAGGUAUUUUAACACAUUAGGGAGUCAAAGAAAGGUUGUUAGUUAGAUGGGAGAUCUUGUGCUGCCAGGAACCUAUUGCCAUAAAGGCCGGACAACACCAUUCUAUGACCUUGUACAUCUUAUGCAUGUAAAUAUGAUAACAAAAGGUUCUAUCAAAUAUGAUGCAAUUCAUCAAUGAGAACAACAACGUGGGCAAGCAUAAAGUAAUAUAUACAAGAUUUGCCAAUAGGACCACAACAUCUAAGUGACAAUACAAUACUAUGCGUAAAUUUACAUUGGUCUACAAAAUCCUCUAAAAGAUACAUAGAUACUUAGUUAAGGUCAGGAAAAACUCCUACCUUACCCUUAACUACUAUACAAUACCAAAAUUUAUAAAAUAGACUCGUAAAGCAUCGAAUCACCCUGGAGGUCUCCAAUAGUCACUGGAUAUACUGUGCUCCUACUAGCGAGGUGUAUUAGCUGAGCACCUGUUCCUGCAGCAUGAAAUAUAGGCCCCCUUGAGGGACAUCAGUACGAAAAUAUGUACUGAAUAUAUAAGGCUAAAGGUAAAUACCCAUGAUACAAGAGCUCAAUGAAAAUCAGAUACAAGUGUAUAAAUAGUGCUAGUAGACCACCUUUAUAUAUAUUUGUUGGAUCUGGUACAUUACAUUUUUUUUUAUUUUAUCCUUCUUUCUUCAUAAUCUUUGUAAGCCAUAUAAUGCAAAUUUCCAACUGAUUAGUGGUAAACAGACAAAUUUAGAUCGGCCCAUGCUAGGCUUAUGCCCCUGGCUGCCACUAUAUGUAAAUAGAUUGGGAUCGACCCAUGCUAGGCCUUUUCCUCUAAGCUGCCACCCACAUAUAAAGGUAUUGGGAUUGGCCCAUGCUAGGUUUAUGCCCAUAAGCUUCCAACCAUUCAAUUAAAAUUUAUCUUACAUAGUUUAUUUAGCCUUUGAGAUUGUUACUUUGGUGGUCAUAAUAUUUUGGUACCUUUGAACAAUAAUCUACCAACAAGAGACAUGUGAAUAAAUACUUAAUGCCAUGACUAAGAUAUAUAGAUAUUGUACAUGAAUGAAAUGUUUAGGAGUUGAAAAUAACAUAUGGGUCUUAGUGACUUAAAUGAUAACUCUUGAGACUUUGUAGUGAAUGUAAAAAUGCAGAAUUAAUAAUAAGAAUAUGGUGAGGUAUUUUAACAUAUUAGGGAUUGGGAGCAAGGCCAUUAUCUAGAUGGGAGAUCAUGUGCUGCUAGUCACCUAUAGUCGUAAAGGCCAGAGAGCACCAAUCUAUGACCCUGUAUAUAUCAUUCAUGUAAAUAUGAUAGCUAAAGGUUCUGCCAAAUAUCAUACAAUGCAUCGAUGAGAACAACCAUAUGGGUAAGCACAAAAUAAUAUAUACAAGACUUGGCCGUUGGGGCCACAACAUCUAAGAGACAAUACACUACCAUGCCAAAUUUUACAUUGGUCUACAAUGCCUUUAAAACAUACAUAAACACUUAGUUAAGGUUGGGACAAACCCCCACCUUACCCUUAACUAAUGUAUACUACCAAAAUAUAUAAAAUAGACUUGAAAAACCCGAAAUCCACCUGGAGCUCUUCAAUAGUCAUUGGAUAUCCUGUGCUCCUACUAGUGAGCUGUAGUAGUUGAAACACUUAUGCUUACAAUAUCAAACGCAAGCCCCCCUUGAGGGACGUCAGUUAAAAAAAUAUGUAUUUAAUAUGUAAGGCUGAAGGUAACUACACAUGAUAUAAGAACUCAUUAAAAAUCAGAUACAAGUGUAUAAAUAGUGCUAGUAGACCACCUUUAUGUAUAUUUGUGGAAUCAGGUACAUUGCAUUAUUUUCUUUAUUUUACCAAAGGAAAGAUUUGAGUAUUAUUUGAUUUGUAGGGGCGUUCUCGUCAUUCCCCCUCACAUAAAAUCCGUCCAACCCUAUAUUAAAGCCUAUUAGAAGUAUUAUAUGUUAUAUUUCAUCAAAUUCUCUAAAAAAGAAAACCCUAAGCGCUUACAUCCAACUUCAAGAACCUCCAAAGUUCACCAUUAAUUCUGCAAAUUUAUUCAAGAUUCCAAGUUCCUAGUUCAAGAACUCCAUGAACCAUCACUAAAAGGCAUGGUUAACAUCUCAAAAAUGAGUAUCGAUCUAAAGUUCAUCAUUCAAGAUAUGUGGGGUUUUUCCACAUCUCUUUCGUUCUUGUGCCCAAAAGUAAUUUUCUUUACAAAGGCAUGAUUUUUAUUUGAUUUUUACAAAUUUGAAGCAUGAACCCAUAUCUUAUGAUGAUUAUUAUGAAAUCUUGAUGUUUAUGAUUUUGAAAGAUGAAUUUACAUGUGUGGAGAUAUAAAUCAUGAAUCUUAAACGAUAUUUAUCAUGAUUUUGAUAUUUAAGUCAUGAAUCCCCAUUGAAAAUUGUGUUUUUUUGAGAAAGUGUGUGUUAUAAGCACGUUGAUGUUGAAUAUUUGAGAUAUUUUGAAUGAUUUGACCUUUUGGUUUUAACGGAGUUAUUUUGAACUCGAGUGUAAAAGAAAUCCACAACGUGGUUGAUUUUGAUAGAUGGGAAGCAUGAUGGCUCCCGAUGUAUAUUUAUAUAUUUGAGAGGUAUAAAGUGACCUUACUUUACUAGAACUACGUGCCCCCGUAGGAGUGAGUCUGAGGCUGAUUUAUAUAGUGAUCACUAGUUUAUGUGGAUUUGAUAUUGAUAGUCCUACUCCGAUGGCAAGGAUAGGAUGGCUCUCCCCAACGUGGGUUGGAUGUUGGAGUCCAUGUGGCUCACAUGGUUUAUGUCGGUUUUAGGAUCUCCCAGUAUGUGUGUGUUUCCUUAUGUCUAUGGUGAAUGGUGAAGUGAUUUGAAAGUGGAAUUGUGAAAGUUAUUAUUUCGAAAGAUUUAAAUGAUAUUUACAUUGUCAGAAUUGAUAUUCUUGAUGCACUGAAAGUGAUUGACAAAUUAUUUGAUGACUCACAUGUGUUGUUGUACUUAUUUCAUCCUCUCAUGAUUAUGAUGAUUUUCUUUAGGCUAUGUGAGUCUUUCAUACAUCCUGCAUAUUUCUUAUAAAUAUUUAUGAUGAUGAUGUUUAUAAAACUUCAUACACUCCUAUAUACUCGGUUCCUUUCCCCGGUACUGACCUACAUCUUCAGAUGUAGGCUGUAUUUCUCUGAAUAUAGGUUCAGGUGCUUAGUUCCAGGUUAGACAGUGAUUCUUCGGGCAUGCUGUUCUAUAUCCUCUGUCGUGGUGAGUCCUCAUGUUCCGAGGACAUGCUGUCUGAUGUUGGUUUCACAAAAUUGUUUACAUUUGAUAACUGAGUAUGAGUUAGUUGGGGCAUGUCUCAAUGUCUCGCUGGUUUUAUUGAUUUUCUUAGAGGGUUGUCAGACUAGUAUAGUUGUUUGGAGUUGACUAAUAACUUGUAUUUUGUUAUUUUGCUAAAAUUCUUUUAUUCUUGGAUGAUGAUUACUCUGUUGAUAUUUGAGGAUUAUUUAUGGAAACCCCGUCGAUUUAUGUUGAACUGAAUGAAAAUGGCUCAAAGGGUUAGCUUGUGGCUACUCAUAGCCUCAAGCACCGUGUGACGCUCCGCGACCAUUUUCAAGGGCGUUACAUUUAAUCUCAAAAUUCGAAAUCUUCUCUUGUUCUCAAUACCCAAAGGCUAAGGGACUUUAAACAAUACUUUCAACUCAUGCAUAAGUCUCAUGGAGAGUAAAACUUCUUCAAUUCUCAACAUUUCAUAACUAUUUAGAACUCAUAUACUUGGAAUUAGAAAUCAUAUAACUUGAAAACAUACUUGAAGGCAUUUCAUUCACUUUAGGAAAAUAUCUCAUCUCAAGCUUUAGGGAAAUCACUCCAUCUCAAAUAGAAAGGCAUUCUAGUUUAUGGAAACAACUUAUCUUGAAGCUUUAUAAAAAGUACUAUAACAAGGGAAGAUACUUUCAUUUAGGAAAUAACUCACAUCAAGAAAAUACUUUAGUUGGGAAAACAUCUUUGCAAUUCAACAAUUUAGAAAAAUAGCUUAUUAGGAAGUAAAAUAAGUAUUUGAUCUCGAAGUCUAAAUGUCAAGGGAGGUUCUCGUAACCGAUAUAAACCAUGCGAGCUACAUGGAUUCCAACGUUUUGUCCUCGUAAGGAAGAGACCCUACGUUGGAGAGGAGCGUCAUACUUUUGCCAGAGAGAAAAAUCUAGGUCUAGUGAUUACUAAACAAAACUCGGCCUCGGGCUUAAUCAUAAUCAUCAUAAACUUGGCCAUAGGCCCAACCUACGGUGGUACAUAGUUUUGGGGUAAGAAACUGUAGUAACUUACCCACUCGGUGCUAAAUACUACUCCCAUUAGAUUAUCAGGGAUCAUCUCAUAAAAAUCCACUUUUAGAAUAAUCACAUGGUUCACCACGAACUCAAUAAUCAAAUCGAUAAUCUCAUAGAGUGAAGUGGAUUUCAAAGCUCAAGGACCAUUAGGUCAAUUCAUUUCUCAAUCAUCUCAAAAUACUCAAAACAUGGGUGCUCAUAGCACAAGAGUUCAUAAUUUCACAAGUCUCAAAUAGGGCUUACUAACCCAUUAUUCAAUCCCAAGUUAAAGCUUAUCAAAAGCAUAAUAUAUAGCAUAUAGAUUCAUAAAUCAUGUGAAAAUCAGGGAAUUUCAGCAAGUUACCUCAAAAUCUCAAUAUUUCCAUAUGCUUCAAUAUCUUAACAAUGCAAAUAUUAGCUUAUCAAGGAGUAAAAUCAUGGGGUUUAUACCCAGCUGUAAAUACUCAUGAAAACAUGUAGAAAUCAUACCAUUUGACUCUUAAUUCCUAGGAAAUAUCAGUAUAAUACAUUCAAUAAUAAUUGGUGAAAAAACCAAUUCAAAUUCAUGUAAAAAACCUCAUAUAUUUUAAGAAUUUCAUGAUAUAAUAACCUUUUGGACACAAGGGUGAAAGGGUUACCCUUGUUUAAAAACCCCACAUACCUUGAAUUAGAAGCUUUUGAUGAACUCUCACUUUUGGAACACUAUUUGUGUACUAGAAUGAGGGUUAUUAAGGCCCUUGACUUGGGAACCUUCAAUCUUGACUUAAUUUAGUAAAUCAUGGUGGAUUCUUGAGGUUCUUGGAAGAGGUUUUUGAUACUUAGGGUUUAUAUUGAGAGAAAAUUUAGGAAAAACCUCAUAAGAUGCUUGUAACUGGCUUUAAUUUAGUGUUUCCACAAUUUUAUAGGCUUUGAAAAGGUCCAAAGUUCCCUUUUAAACAUUUGUACAAAACUUGAAAAACUGAACUGGAACCCGAUUUCAUUGGCCUCUGCAACGCGCCACUUAUCGCGGUGGCUCACUGGAAUUUGACAAUUGGGAAAUUGGCAGCCUCCGCAAUGCGGACCCAUGGAGUUUUCCCACUGGUUGGGACUUGGGACUCCUCUGCGAUGCGCCACUAUCACGGGGUUCCACUGGAAAUUGACAAUUGCAAAAUCAACCCUCUCCAUGACGUGCCAGGAAGUUAAAUGAUGCAGUUUUACGACUAAGCCUUAAAUUAGCCAUACCUUCUUACUCGAGUGUUGGAUUUGGGCAAAUCUUAUAUCGAUGGAAAGCGUAUUAGCUUUCCCAAGUGACAAAAAGUAGAAAUUAGGGAAAUUCUAUAUUGGUAACACGUUACUCACUUAGGAAGCAACUUCUCAAUCUUUUAGGGCCGAAAUCACGCGUCACUCGACAUGACCUAUGGAUCAAACUACAAGGGAACUUUGUAGGGCCUUACAAUAUCUCCCCUUUGGGAACAUUCGUCUUCAAAUGUCACUAGUUAGUCUCGAAAUACAGGAAAAACUGAGUACACACAGCCGAAAGAAUUACUAAAAGGUUCAAGAUCUUCCUAAACUCAUGACCACUCCGAUUAUUGCAAGAAUUCAUACAAAGAUAGAUGCAUAGCUGAACUUUAGAUUAGAAAAGCUGAAUCAAAGAAGAAUAGUACCUUUGGAUUGAUAUAAACUUGCGGAAAAGGGGUAUGGGUAUUUGGCUCAUACGUCUGCUUCUGCCUCCCAAGUAUCACACUCAACAGAUUGGUUCAGCCACAAAACUUUGACCAAGGGAACUUCUUUGUUCCUUAGUUUACGGAUCUGAAAAUCUAGGAUCUCCACGAGAAUCUCAUCGAAGGAAAGGCUAUCCUGAAUAUCAACACUCUCUGAAGGAUCAACCACAACGAAAUUACUAAUAUGCUUCUUAAGCAUGGAGACAUGAAAGAUAGGAUGACCGGCGGACAACUCCGAGGGAAACUUAACCUCAUAAGCCACUUUACCAACACGGCUCAAGACUCUAUAGGGCCAACAUAACGGGGACUAAGCUUUCCCUUCCUACCAAACCUUUUCACCCCUUUCAUGGGUAAAAUCUUCAAGUACACCAAGUCACCUACCUUAAACUCAAGAUCUCUCCUUCUUACAUCUGCGUAAGACCUUUGACGACUCUGAGCGGUCUUCAACCUUUCUCUAAUCAACUUAACUUUCUCCAUAGAUUUGAACAAUGCAUCAAGCCCACACGCGGCAGCUUCGCCCACUUCAAACCAACCUAUGGGUGAUCUACACCUCCUACCAUACAAAGCCUCAAAUGGUGCCAUCUCAAUGCUAGUAUGGAAACUAUUGUUAUAGGCUAACUCAAUCAAUGGAAAAUGCUCAUCCCAACUACCUUUAAAUCAAGAGCAUUUGCCCUCAACAUAUCCUCUAGGGUUUGAAUGGUCCUCUCAGCCUGACCAUCUAUCUAUGGGUGAAAAGCUGAACUCAAAAGAACUUGGGUGCCAAGACCCUGCUGAAACGCCCUCCAAAAUUGAGAAGUAAAUUUAGUACCCCUAUCUGAAAUGAUAGAAAAGGGAAAUCCAUGUAGUCUGACAAACUCCUGAACAUACAAUCUAGCAUAAUCCUUAGCCGUAUAAGAUGUAUGCACGGGCAAAAAAUGUGUGGACUUAGUCAACUUAUCCAUAACAACCCAAAUAGAAUCAUGAUGACGACGCGAUAGAGGCAACCCGGUCACGAAGUCCAUAUUCACUAUCUCCCACUUCCAAGUGGGUAUACUAAACUCUUGCAUCACACCACCCGAUAUUUGGUACUCUACCUUAACCUGUUGACAUGUCGCACUCUUUGCUACAAACUCGGAGAUGUCCUUCUUCAUGAUAUUCCACCAAUAGAUUUCUCGCAAGUCGCGAUAUAUCUUGGUAAUACCGAGAUGAAUGGAAUAACGUGCACCAUGUGUGUCACCCAUAAUCCUCCACCUUAAAUCAUCAACACACGGAACACACAACCUACCAUGCACCCUCAACACACCAUCUUCCCCUUGGGAGAAAACCUCGACCUUUUGGUACUUAACUGACCCCUUCAGUUUGACCAAACUAGGAUCCCUAUACUGCUUCUCCUUCACUUCCAAAACUAAAGAAGAUUUGGAACUAGUCUGCACCAAUGUACUUCCCUCCGCUGAAUCAAGCAAUCUAAUACCCAACCUAGCCAGACAAUGAACAUAAUGAGCUAACUCUCUCUUACCUUUCUCAAUAUGCGCAACUCUACCCAUGGAUAAUCUGCUAAGGGCAUCUGUAAUGACAUUGGCCUUGCCCGAGUGAUACAACACACUUAUAUCAUAAUCUUUCAACAACUCUAACCACCUCCUCUACCUAAGAUUCAACUCCUUCUGGGUAAAUAUGUACUGGAGGCUUUUAUGAUCAGUAAACACAUCAACAUGGACACCAUAAAGAUAGUGUCUCCAAAUUUUCAAAGCAAAAACCACAACAGCUAACUCAAAAUCAUAGGCUGGGUAGUUCUUUUUAUACGGCUUCAACUUUCUAGAGGCAUAGGCUAUAUCCUUACCCAUUUCCAUCAACACACAACCCAAACCAACUCUAGAGGAAUGACAAUACACCAUAAAACCAUCAGUACCAUCAUGAAAAGUUAACAUAAGGGCUGAAGUGAGUCGAGUCCUCAACUCCUCGUAACUCUUCUCACAGGAAUCAGACCACUGGAAUUUAACCUUCUUUUGUGUCAAUCGGGUCAUAAGAGACUCAGUGAAAGAAAAACCCUUAACAAAAUGAUGUUAAUAGCCUGCUAGACCCAAGAAACUCCUAAUGUCAGAUGGACAGAUCAGUCUAGGCCAGUUUCUCACAGCUUUUGUCUUUUGGGGAUCAACUCUAAUACCCUCGGCUAAAAUAACAUGACGCAUGAAGGCUACAGACCUUAGUCAAAAUUCACACUUAUUGAAUUUGGCAAACAAUAGGUGAUCUCUAAGAGCUUGGAAGACAAUUCAAUGAUGAGUUGCAUGGUCAUUCUCAUCACGGGAGUACACAAGGAUAUUAUUUAUGAAGACAAUAACGAACAUAUCAAGGUAUUGCUUGAACACUCGAUUCAUGAGGUACAUGAAGGUUGUUGGGGAAUUUGUUAGCCCAAAAGACAUGACUAAAAAAUCAAAGUGACCAUAACGGGUUUGAAAGGUUGUCUUUGGAAUAUCACAUUCCCUCACUUUAAGUUGAUGAUAGCUGGAUCUAAGGUCUAUCUUGGAAAAAUAACUUGCAUCUUGCAACUGAUCAAAUAGGUUAUCAAUUCUCAAAAGAGGAUACAUAUUUUUGACUGUGGCCUUGUUCAGUUAAUGGUAGUCAAUGUACAUACGCAAAGAUCUAUCUUUCUUCUAAACGAACAAAACAGGUGCACCCCAAGGAGAAAUACUGGGUCUAAUGAAACCUUUGUCUAAGAUAUCUUUGAGUUUCUCCUUUAACUCCUUAAGCUUGAAAGGUACCAUACGAUAUAGAAGAAUGAAAAUAGGCUGAGUAUUGGGAAGAAGGUCAAUUCCAAACUCUAUCUCUCUAUCGAGAAGUACCCUUAGGAGAUCUUCCAGAAAGACAUCGAGGAACUCAUUCACAAUAUCAACCGACUGGAUGGUUGGAGUCUCAGACUUAGUGUCCUUGACCCUAACAAGGUGGUAGAUACAACCUUUGGAUAUAAGCUUUCUGGCUUUGAUAGAGGAGAUAAAAUAACUCUUGGGAGAUACCAAACUCCCAGACCACUCAAUCACUGGUUUAUUAUGAAACUAAAACUUGACCAUACAGAAAAGACAAUCUAUAGAUGCAUAACAAGAAUGAAGCCAAUACAUACCCAAAAUAAGGUUAAAAUCUAUCAUGUCUAACUUUAUCAAAUUUGCAGAUAUAACUCUAUGAAGCACAGUAACGGGGCAAUUUCUAUGCACUUGUUUUGCAACAACUGACUCUCCGACUGAUAUAGAAACUAGGAAAGGCUCAGAAAUCUUUUCAAGACUCAUUUUGAAAUUCACACCCACAAGUGGGGUCAUAUAAGAGAGAUUCAACUUUGGGUCCAACAACACAUAAACAUUACAACAAAAGACAUAGAGCAUACUAGUAACAACAUCAGGAGAGUCUUCCUACUCCCGAUAUGGUGCCAAAGGAUAGAACUAUUCUAUCACUAACCGCCAGCAGUGCUAGAAGAAGUGCCCUGAGCAGAGGCGGGAUGGAGUACCGAAGUUGGUGUACUAGCAGCCUGUGCCUGAGGUCCGGCAUCUCUAUUCCCCUUUCUAGCAUGGGGACAAUCUCUAAGUCUGUGGCUCUGCUUUCUACAACCAAAACAACCCCUCACAUCUCCAAAACACUCCCCAAGGUAAUUUCUACCAUAUUUAGCACAAGAAGGAUAAUAAGUCAUGUUACCAACACUGUUCUGCGGUCCAAACAUGAAAGACCUGAUCCCUUGCUCCGGCCUACUUCUAGGCAUAUGAGCACUAGCUGAAGAAGGAACUAGAAUAUAUGGACAUCUUUAAAACUGGGGGCAGUUCCCUCCAUGGAACCUUGGCUGACUAAACUCAUGCUGAUCAGAUCUCGGCCUCUUGAUACCCCUUAUUUUAUCUCUUUCUCUAAUCUUAUCUACAUCGAUCUAUUGGGCAUGCAUCAUCAACCUAGCCAGAUCCAUAUCCUUAUGCAACAUCAUAGCCAUACACUCCUUCAGUACCAUCCCCAAAACACCGGUCAUAAACUUACUCAUACUAGCCCAGGUGUCAAAAAUCAAAUCAGGAGCGUACUUGGCCAAUUGAUUGAACUUGAAAUAGUACUCCUCAAUAUUCAUAGAGCCCUAUCUCAAGUUCAUAAACUCAUUAAUAUUUGCCUUCCUCAUCUCAAGUUGAAAUAAUUGAUCCAAGAAGGCAUCUUGGAAAACUUACCAAGUCAUAGGAGCGGCAUUCUCAUCUCUACCCUUCCUCCAUGACACAACCGAAUUAUAAGAAAUGUCCUUCAGUUUGUAGGAUGCCAACUCAACACUUUCUUCUUCUGAAACAUGCAUCACGUCUGUGAUCUUCCAUAACUCCUCCAUGUACAACUGUGGGUACUCAUCUAUCUUUGACCCAUAGAACUCAAGCAGGUUAAUCUACAUAGAGUCAUAAAUCCUAGAUGUGGCUACAUCACCACCCUACUGGUUAGCAACUGGGGAUUGGUUAUUGUCUUAAAUAUUUGCGGUGAUCUCUUGGGCUAAUGCCUGAAAGACCACCUGAAACUCAGCAUGGGACACCAUCUCAUUCAAAAGAUCAACAGAUGGGGGUUGUUAAUCAUUGUUUCAGCAAAUAUUUACUCUUCGAAGAGGCAUUUUCUAAAAAUAGAAGAGCAUGGGUCAUUAGAUAAGAGGGACAACUGUAGGCACGAUAGAAUAUGAAAGAAGAAAAUUUUUUUCCUAAAAUAUCUCAUAGCCUCUUCCUCAUAGUUGUGGUAUGCUACACACCGAUGAUCAAGAUUCUACUCAACGCCACUUAUCAGACUCCCUAGGACUCCUUAGAAACCUUAGGCUCUGAUACCAAGUUUGUAACAACCUGAUAUCAUCUCUCAAUAUGUCACAUGGUACCUAAGGCUACAAGUAUCCCCAAGCUAACCCUUAGAGCUGGUUUCCACCAAUGACACUCAAUUCAAGAUAAGAAUGGACUCAACACUAAUGUAGUCAUAUCAUAUAUAAGGAAAUAUAGAAAAUAUACUUGUCUAUAAGACCACAAUAUAGAGAAAUCUCAACAAAACCAUAAUAUUGAAUCCUCGACACAUCACAAGUCUGACACUAGUCUAACAAACCUCUACAAAUCAAAAUCUAGAGAGCCAUUAGGACAGGUCCCCAACUGAGUUGAAAUAAACUGAAGAUAAAACAUAGUCUUUCAAGUACGAUAAAUAUCUGAGGAUCUUUCCUUGAAUCAUGAGGACUUACCACUAUAGAAAAUAUAGGCAAGGUACUAAAAGAAUCAUGGGCGAGGCUGGGACUGAGCAGCUGAACCUACAUUAUGACACAAUAUAGCAUAUAGACAUUUAUGUGGAUCAGUACUUGGAAGGUACUGAGUAUGUGGGGGUGAAUGCAUAUGAAUAAAAUAGUAACAAUCUUCUUUAAUCAAAUCAUGUAUGCAUUAUGAGAUGACUUACAUAGAUUGAACAAGUAUAAAUUAUAAAGCUUGUAAGUUAUGUAGAAUGGAGCAUGUAAUACAAAUCUCGUGAGUCAUCGUUGUUUAAUCUCAAAAUUCAAAAUCUUCUCUCUUUCUCAAUACCCAAAGGCUAAGGGACUUUAAACAAUACUUUCAGCUCAUGCAUAAGUCUCAUGGAGAGUAAAACUUCUUGAAUUCUCAACAUUUCAUAACAAUUUGGAACUCAUACACUUGGAAUUCGACAUCAUAUAACUUGAAGACAUUUCAUUCACUUUAGGAAAAUAUCUCAUCUUAAGCUUUAGGAAAAUCACUCCAUCUCAAAUGGAAAGGCAUUCUAGUUUAUGGAAACAACUUAUCUCAAGGCUUUAAAAAAGUACUAUAACAAGGGAGGAUGCUUUCAUUUAGGAAAUAACUCACAUCAAGAAAAUACUUUAGUUGGGGAAACAUCUUUGCAAUUCAACCAUUUAGUAAAAUAGCUUAUAGGGAAGGAAAAUAAGUAUUUGGUCUUGAAGUCUAAAUGUCAAGGAAGGUUCUCGUAACCGACAUAAACCAUACGAGCUACAUGGAUUCCAACAUUUUAUCCUCCUAAGGAAGAGAUCCCACGUUGAGGAGGAGCGCCAUACUCUUGAUAGGGAGUAUAACCUAGGUGUAGUGAUCACUAAAUAAAAAUUAGCCUCGGGUUCAAUCAUAAUCAUCAUAAACUUGGCCUCAGGUCCAACCUACGGUAGCACGUAGUUUUGGGGUAAGAAACCAUAGUAACUUACCUACUCGAUGCUAAAUACUACUCCUUUUAUAUUAUCUGCGCUCAUCUCAUAAAAAAAUCUACUUUUAGAAUAAUCACAUAACUCACCACAAACCCAAUAAUCAAAUCGAUAAUGUCAUAUAGUGAAGUGGAUUUCAAAUAUCAAAGACUAUUAGGUCAAUUCAUUUCUCAAUCAUCUCAAUAUACUCAAAACAUGGGUGCUUAUAGCACAAGAGUUCAUAAUUUCACAAGUCUCAAAUAGGGCUUACUAACCCAUUAUUCAAUAUCAAGUUAAAGCCUACCAAAAGCAUAAUAUAUAGCAUAUAGAUUCAUAAAUCAUGUGGAAAUCUAGGAAUUUCAGCAAGUUACCUCAAAAUGUCAAUAUAACCAUAUGCUUCAAUAUCUCAAUAAUGCAAAUAUUAGCUUAUCAAGGAGCAAAAUUAUGGGGUGUAUACCCAGCUGUAAAUACUCAUGAAAACAUGUAGAAAUCAUACCAUUUGACUCUUAAUUCCUUGGAAAUAUCAGUAUAAUACAUUCAAUAAUAAUUGGUGAAAAAACCAAUUCAAAUUCAUGUAAAAAACCUCAUAUAUUUUAAGAAUUUCAUGAUAUAAAUAACCUUUUGGGCACAAGGGUGAAAGGGUUACCCUUGUUCAAAAACCCCACAUACCUUGAAUUAGAAGCUUUUGAUGAACUCUCAUUUUUGGAACACUAUUUGUGCACUAGAAUGAGGGUUAUUAAGGUCCUUGACUUGGGAACCUUCAAUCUUGACUCAAUUUCGGAAAUCAUGGUGGAUUCUUGAGGUUCUUGGAAGAGGUUUUUGAUACUUAGGGUUUAUAUUGAGAGAAAAUUUAAGAAAACCUCAUAAGAUGCUUGUAACUGGCUUUACUUUAGUGUUUCCACAAUUUUAUAGGCUUUGAAAAGGUCCAAAGUUCCCUUUUAAACAUUUGUACAAAACUUGAAAAACUAAACUGGAACCCAAUUUCAUUGGCCUCCAUAACGCGCCACAUAUCGCGGUGGCUCACUGGAAUUUGACAAUUGGGAAGUUGGCAGCCUCUGCAAUGCGGAGCCAUCAUGUUUUCCCACUAGUUGGGACCUGGGACUCCUCGGUAAUAUGCUCCUAUCAUGGGGUUCCACUGGAAAGUGACAAUUGUAAAAUCAACCCUCUCCGUGAUGCGCCAUGCAGUUAAAUGAUGUAGUUUUAUGACUAAGGCUUAAAUUAGCCAUAACUUCUUACCCGAGUGUUGGAUUUGGGAAAAUCUUAUAUCGAUGGAAAGCGUAUCAGAUUUCCCACGUGAAAAAAGUAGAAAUUAGGAAAAUUACUUAUGGUUAACACGUUACUCACUUAGGAAGCAACUUCUCAAUCUUUUAGGGCCAGAAUCACACCUCACUCAACAUGUACUAUGGAUCAAACUAUGAGGGAACUUUGCAAGGCCUUAUAGAAAUACCCUAUUUUCUAUACCUUAAAAAAUUUCCUAUAAUUAUAGUCUCUUAACCCAAUACGACUCAUGGGUACAAGCCGUAUGUUAAGGUAUGAAUGAUAUGGUCCAGUCAUAUACUGACCAGUGUUGGUUAGUGGGAUGGAUUUUGGUCAAUGGAAUGGGUACGACUUGGUGGUACGAGUCGUAUGGUUAGAUACAGAUUAUUUGUUAACCUUAAACUUGGUAACUUCAGUUGAAUCUGAGUAUGAGUUGCUCAUGAGAAGUCAUAAUCCAGGGUACGAGUUAAACUAGAGACUCGUAUGGUGGAUAGUGCUCAAACCUUCUGUGAUUCUAUCUUACCAAAGGUAUGGGUAAAGGGCACGGAUCAUAUGUUGUCAAUACAACUUGGGUAGGAUGGGUCUUACACUUUAUAGUGUUAGUUCCAAGGGUUGAGGAUUAGGAUACGAGUGGUUGGUACCACUCAUAUCAAAGGGUAUGACUUGUGAGUGUAAGUCGUACCCCUAUGUUGGGAUUUUUUUGCAACUUAAAUAGGGGUAUUCUGGACAUUCCCCACUCAGCCUAAGAAGUCCCUACAACUUCUAACUCUCUUGGGAGUCUAUUUACCCUAUUAUUUUAUUCAUUAACUCUUAAAAGCUCUUCCUAAAUACUCUAUAAUUCUCUCAAGAGCUUUUAGGGAAGAAAGUUAGGGUUUCAACAAGAGGACUAAAUUAGGGACAAUGUUGGUGGUUUCUCUUUUUCCACUUUGUAAAUUAAGGCAUGUUCUCUUUCCUCAUUAUUAGUUCUAAUUAAAGGUAUGGUUUUAUACAAUGUUUAUAUGAUUUGAUUAUUGUAUGAUUUUUGGUUUGAAAAUAUGAUUUGUUAUAAAUGCUUGGUUAUGGUUUUCCCAUGUUUUAGUUAAUGGUGGUUUUGGAUAAUUUUUUGUAUGGGAAUAGUUCUUUGGUAAUGAACUUUGUUUUGAAAAUACUAUGCCUCCAAUGUGUUUGAUAAAAAUGCCUUUAACAAUGUUUCCACUAUAAUAUUAGUUUUUCAAUGGAACUUAUGCAUGGUUUAAACUUUAUAUUGGAACCCUAAAUGAUAUUAAUGGUUUAAUUGGUUUUAAAUGGAUUGGAAAAUCCUUAGUGUCCAUGGUUUUAGUUAAUUGGAAAUCAUGAAGGGUACAUGGAAUCCCUUAAACCAAUAUAUGUUUGGCUAUGGACAAAACUUACAAGUAUAGUCGGUAUGACGAUACCACUACUAAUGGCCUUAAUUAAUAAAUGGUUAAUGGAUUGGUUGGUUACUUGGUAAUGGUUUUAAUUGGCCAAUAAUGGCGAGGUGUAUAGCAAAGCUGUGGAAGGUAGAGGUCCCGGGGGACCAAAAUUGGAAACUCAUAUUUGUCGAUAUGCGGUUUAAUCUAAGUGAUUGUGUGCAUGAUGUCACACUUUAUAUUUGGGAGAUGUACUAGUCAUCCUAGGUUUUCUUCCCUGGUUGUGCGGGUUUACGCACUGGGGCUCUUCAGCAGGGCGAGCUAAACCAAUAUAGAUCGUAGGUGGUUUAGGACAGCAAAUCUACACAGCCUAGGUAAAGUUUUUAAUGGCAUGCUAAACUCGGUUCCCUUUUCUGGCAUGGAUAUAUAUAUAUGGUUUGUGUGCAUAUGGUUGAUUUUACUUGGUCUUAUAAAUGGUAUUAUUUUAUCCUUAGCCUGAGUUUGUGCUUGCAUUCACCUGCUAACCCAUCUUCGAGUGGAAAAAUACCCAUGAUAUAUAGAAACUAACCUUUCUACUCCUCCUACAUCAUGAUUGACUCGAGGAAAGAUUUUGGACUAAAGUGGUGAGCUUCCGUCUUUAUAGAAGGCUCCAUUUCAUGUUAUGGAUAUUCUUAGAAAUUUUAAUUUAUGUUUAGAUAAUGGUUUUUUCUAUGGUUGUGGAAAUGUCCCAACCAGAUAUUCUUACACUUUUGGUUAGAGGUUUUAUGGUACUGCUAUGGGUUAGAAUGAGCGGGAUCAGAAUUGGUGUCAGCCUUAAUAUUAGUAUUCGUAUUAGGGCUGAUACCAGUUGACUUUAUUAUUGGUUGUUCCAGCCUCUUUUAUUUUGGGAUUAAUCAUAUUAUGUUAUGGAUAUUAUUUAGUUAUGGCCUGGUCUAUGGCCCUUGGUUUGGUAUUGGUUUUGUUAGUAUGGUUUGGUAGACGAGAUGACGUGGUACGGUUGGUCUAGUAAUAGACCUAUCCCAAAGUCAGUCCUUGUCUAAUUUUGCUAUCUUGUUAUACAUUUAGAAUUCAGUCAACUAAAGAUAUACUAAUGGUGGUUUGGUUGGGUUACAAGGGGUGGUCCCUAGUCCUGGUUGGACUUUUGAAGCCCAUUAUAACAAGGCCCUCGAACGGAUUGUAUCAAGUUGGUAUCAAAGCUUUAAGUUCAUAGUAGUUGAGAGACCACAAAGUCAUAUCAAGUAGAGUAUCUUUUAUGGGUGUGUAGUGGCCAAACUCAUAACAGAGAGGCUACAGGGCAUUUAGGAAUGUUUUACUUUCUUGGUAUUCUAUUUACAAGCUUGGAGUCUAAGUCCUAGAAUUCUUGUCUAAUCCUUGGUUGUUCACUUCUCAGAUUAUGCCUCAAUGAUUUGGAACACAGAAAAACUCUUCAGUCCCAUCUGGGGAUAAUGUUGAUAGGGUACAUACUAUGUCUAGAGUUUUUUCUUUGAUAUUAGGGUCCUAUCCCUAAUAGUUCUAGAGUUUCUCAAGUUGCUACUAGUCCUUCUCAAAGUGAGGUCACUAAUGUGGAAUUUUGUCAGACUAUUCAUACUAUUUCUAAAUUUGUUGCUGCUCAAGCUGAGCAGGAUGCAUUUGGUGGGUUAUCUUCUGAGGCCAUAAGGUUUGGUUAGUUUAUAAAACUGAAUCCUUCUACUUUUACUAGUUUAAAGGUGGAGAAGGAUCCUUAGGUUUUAUUGGAUGAGAUAGAGAAGAUAUUUAGGGUGAUGCAAGCUACUAAUAUGAAGGGUGUAAACUUUUCAGCUUACCAUCUCAAGGAUGUUACUUUCUAAUAGUAUGAAGAGUGGAAAAGAGAUAGAGGUGAUGUGAAGGAGAUGUCCUAAUGAGAUGCCUUCUCUGGUGCUUUUCUAGGUCGUUUCUUUCCUCAAGAGCUGGAGGAAGCAAAAAUAGAUGAGUUUAUGAAUCUUAUGCAAUGGGGAAUAUCUGUCAAGUAAUAUGCUUUGAAGUUAUAUCAGCUGUCAAGGUAUGCUCUUGAUUUAGUGGCUGACAUAAGAGCGAGAAUAAGAAAGUUUGCUUCUAGGUUGAAUCCGAAUUUGAUCUACGAAAGCAAGACUACCUUACUGAUUAAAUAUAUGGAUAUUUCUAGGUUGACUAUUCAUAUACAGUAGGUAAAUGGUGAGAAGAGAAAACAGGCUGAGUUUGAAGAUAGGUAGGGUAAGAAGAGCAGGUUUUCUGAUCAGGGAGGUGCUUAGUCUCAAGGUAGUUGGGAUGGCGGCAAAUGGAAAAAAAAUGGAGUUCUGUAUCCUUCUCUACUGCUAGUUCUUCUUACCCAAAGUAGUCGAAUGACUGGCAUUAUUAGAGUAAUGAUAAUUUUAGCGCACUGAGUGCCCAAUCUCAGGUGAGUAGGGGUCAGUUGAUUUCUUUAUACCCACCUUGUCGGUUUUGUGGCCAUCUUUAUUGCUAUUAUUGCUAUAAAUGAAGGGAAAAUACUUCAAGUGUGGCCAAGCAGGCCAUCAAAUCAGGGAUUUUCUGAUUAAUAAUAUUUCUACAAGAGCAAAUAAGGUAUCGGUGGGUUCAUCUUCUGCUCCUACACUCGGUGGUGCUGCAUUUACUUCUGUAGCUACUCCUGGUUCUAGUGUUGUCCAAAAUAAGUUGUAUGCUUUGGCAUCUCGAUAGAAAUCAGAGGCAUUGCCUGAUGUCAUUACUGGUAUAUUAUAACUCUUUUCUCCUAACGUGUAUUAUCUGCUUGAUCUAGGGUCCACUCUUUCUCAUGUGACCCCAUUUGUGGCUGUAUGCAUUGGUUUUGAUCCUGAGGUUGUUUAGGAUCCUUUUUUAUUUUACUCCAAUUCUAACUUUUCUGGAAGGCAAUGAUGGGUUUAUGGUCUAUUGUGAAGCAUCUUAGGUAGAUCUUAGUUUUGUUUUACUACAGCAUGAAAAGGUGAUUGCCUAUGCUUCCAGGCAAUUAAAGGUACAUGAAAGGAACUAUCUUACUCAUGAUUUAGAGCUUUUGGUGAUAGUAUUUACUUUGAAAAUAUAGCUAUACUAUUUGUAUGGUGUAUAUAUGGAUAUCUUUUCUUAUAAUAAGAUCUGCAGUAUAUGUUCACUCAGAAGGAUCUCAAUCUCAUGAAGAGAAAAUGGCUUACGAUUCUCAAGGACUAUGAUAUGAGUCUUCACUCUCACCCAGGUAAGGCUAACGUGGUUUCUAAUGCUCUUAGCAGGUUGUCCAUGAGGAGUUUGGCUCAUGUGGAGAAAGAAAAGCAGGGUUGGUGAAGAUAUUCACCACUUAGCUAAUCUUGGAGUUUUUCUCUUGGACUCCAAGGAUGGAGGUGUAAUGGUACAAGAAGUGGUUCGAUCGUCUCUUCGUGUAGAGAUUAAGAAGAAGUAGGUGCUGGAUCCUGUCUUGAUUAAAAUCAAGGGUGAUAUUUGUAGGCAAAAGGUGAUGGUGUUUAAGAUCAGUGGUGAUGGUACUUUUUUGUAUCAAGGAAGGUUGUGUAUUCCUAAUAUUGACAGUUUGUGAUAAAAGAUUUUGGCUGAGGUGUAUGAGCCAUGCUAUGUUGUUCAUCCCAGUUCCACGAAGAUGUAUCAUGAUCUCUAGGAGAUGUACUGGUGGAAUAGUAUGAAGAGAGAUAUGGCUGAUUUUGUAGCCAAGUUUUUGGUGUGUCAAAAAGUUAAAGUUGAGCACAUAAGGCCUGGUGGGUUAUAUAAAGAUAUUGUAUUGCCUGAAUGAAAAUAGGAGGUAAUCAAUAUGGAAUUCAUUACCGGUCUUUCUCUGUCUUGGAAUCAAUAUGAUUCGAUUUAGGUCAUACUAGAUAGGCUGACAAAGUUUUCUCUUUUCUUUCUAGUGAGGACUACCUUCUCGAUGGAGGAUUAUAUGAAGUUAUAUCUUCAGGAGAUUGUGAAGAUGCAUGGGGUAACUAUUUUUAUUAUUUCUGAUCAAGGAACACAAUUUAUGUCUCACUUCUGGCGGUCUUUCAACAAAGGGUUGGGGAAUAAGGUUAGUAUGAGUACUACUUUUCACCCACAGAUAGAUGGACAAGUAGAGACAAUUAUUCUGAUGUUGGAGGAUAUGCUUCGGGCUUGUGUGAUUAAUUAUGGUGGCAAUUAGGUUGGGCAUCUACCUUUGGUAGCAUUUCCUUUACAACAAUAACUAUCAUUGUAGUAUUGGUGUGGCUUCUUUUUAUGCAUUGUAUGGUAGGAGGUAUAGAUCUCCUAUUGGUUGGUUUGAGCUUAGUAAGGUGGAUAUGUUUGUUCCUGACUUGGUUUACUAGGCUAUGGAGAAGGUGAAGGUGAUUUGGGAUAGGCUUAAGGCAUCCCAAAGUUGUCAAAAGUCCUAUGCAGAUAUUAGGAGAGGAGAUUUGGAGUUUGAGGUUAAAGAUAAGGUUUUCCUCAAGGUAUCUCCCAUGAAGGUAGUAGUAAGGUUUGUUAAGAAGGGAAAGUCUAGUCCCUGGUAUGUUAGUCCUUAUGACAUUCUGCAGAGGGUUGGUAAUAUUGCUUAUGAGUUAGAGUUACCUUCUAGAUUGAUCAAGGUUCAUCUGGUAUUUAUUGUCUCUAUGUUGAGAAAAUAUGUAGGUGAUCCUUCUUCGAUUGUUCAUUUUGAGGGGUUGGGUAUCUCUGACUCUCUGUCUUAUGAAGGGAUCCUGGUUAAUAUCUUGGAUAGGCAGGUUUGUCGAUUUUAGACCAAAGAUAUGGCUUCGAUUAAGGUUCUAUAGUGAAACCAUAAGGUGGAAGAAGCUACAUGGUAAGUGUAGGAGGACAUGAAGUCCAAGUAUCCACAUUUAUUUUUUGCUCGUAGGAUUCGUGCGAAAGGUUUGUGACUUCAACACAUCUUUAUUUUUUGAAUUUUUUAAUGGAAAGGUUAAUAUCUUUGCGUCUAUGUUUUCAAACUUUGUUAAAGAUUGGAAAUAUAUUUGAUAAUGUAAAUAAAUCGUGCGUGUCGUUACCUCUACCUUAUCCGUCAUUCUGGGAUAAAUAUUCCUAAUAGGGGAAACUGAAACACCCUGGUUUUUGUACCUUAGAAAAUUUCUUGGAAUUUAGUUUUCUGGACCCAAUACGAUUCAUGGGUACGAGCCAUAUGUUUGAGUACAAGUGGUAUGGUCCAGUCGUAUGCUGACCAGUGUUGGUUGGUGGGAUGGAUUCUGGUUACUAGAAUAGGUACGACUUGGUGGUACUAGUUGUAUGGUUUGAUACGGAUCAUUUGGUUCCUUCACUUAAUCUUAGACUUGGUAACUUAAGUUGAAUCUGAGUAGAAAUGGCUCACCAGGGGCCAUAAGUCAGCGUAUAAGUCAUACCAAGGAAUCGUAUGGUGGAUAGUGUUCAAACCUUCUGUGUUCUAUCUUGCUAAGGCUAUAGAUAAAGAGUAAGGAUCGUAUGUUGUCAAUACAACUUGGGAAGGAUGAGUUGUAGACUAUACAAUGUUGGGUCCAAGGGUAGAGGCGUAGGAUACAAGUGGUGGGUACCACUCAUAUCAAAGGAUAUGAUUUAUGAGACUCAGUCGUACCCAUGUUAUGGGAUUUUUGUGCAACUUAAGUGGGGGUAUUUUGGACAUUUCCCUACUUACCCCAAUAAGGCCCCACAACUUCUAAAUCUGUAAUACUCCGAAUUUUCUGUAAGUUGAGUUUCAUCCUUAAGGGGAGUAAGGGCUGACUUCCCAAGUGAGAAGUAUUUUAAACCAUGUAGAAUUUCCCUAAUAUCAACUUUUUGUCAUGUAUAGAAUUGAGUAAGAUUUCCGUCGAUACUAAAUUUGACCAAAUACGACAUUUGGGCGAAGAGUUAUAGCUAUUUUAGUGAGACAGUGUACCACCUGGUACUUAGGCGCGUUGCGGAGUCAGCCAAAAUGGCAAUUGUCAAAAUUCAGUGAGCCUCUGCGAUUCCACCGCGUCGCGGUGUAUUUCUAGUUCACAACCAAGGUGGCAAUGCAAUUUCCACCGCAUCGCGCCAUCAAGCAGUUUCCCAAUUGUUCAAUUUCCAGUAAGCUGGCGCGAUUAUGGCGCAUCGUGCCAACAUAAAAAAUCAGAAUUUUCAGAUUUCGUUAUUUAAUUUCAAGGGCAUCUUAGACUUUUCUCAUGACCCCUAUCAGCCCUAAACACGAUAUAAAAUGCCCAAUAAGCCCUUAUUCCGUUAUUUUCCUCACUAUUCUCUUAGGAAGAUUAUAUUUUCACUCAAAAGGGCAAGAACCCUAGCCAAGAAAUCAAGAACAAGACUAAGGAUUUUCUUCAAAGACCUUCAAGAAAGAGUCUUCUAGGGUAUGUUAGACGUUGAUUCUUGGGUUGUUUCCACCCAAGAAGCUCAAUAAUCCUUUUCAAAAUUUUGAGGUUUACGUAUUUAUGAGAUUUCAUUAUUUAUGUGUAUUAUAGUUCAUGAUUUUGUAUUGUUGGGUUGUAAUUCAUCAUUUAGACUACCAAUUUCAAGAGUUGAUUCUAGUAUGUGAUGAAUUCUAUGGUGUUCAUGAUAAACCCUCUUCACGUUGCAUGAUAUUGAUGUAUUCAUGAUAAUUAAGUAUAAAAUCUAUGGUAUGACCAAAGCAUUCCCCCUAUAUGUUUGAUAGAAUGCUUAAGUAAAGAUAAUAGUGCCUAUUUACUAUGUUAAGCAUGAAAUCCCCAAUUUUCUGAUAACUUUUGCAUGCCAAGUGUUUGUUGAAAUGCCUUAAUGAAUGUAUUAUGAUAAGUUGCAUGCAUUCUUAUCCAUGUGUAUUACUUAUUGAACAACUAUGAGAUAUUAGUAUGCAUUCCCUAUAAAUUUACAUGUUUAUGACUUUCAAGUGAUUGACGAGAUAUCGUAUUGAUUGUGUUGUGAAUGAAAGUCCAUUGUCAUGAUAUUCAAGGGUGGUCCUGUCUUAUUUAUUUAUGUAUCGAGUAUUGGGGGUAUUUAUACACAAAAAUUUAGUUGCUUGUCUAGAGCUGAGUUAGUCUCAAGAUAAUUUCAGUCAUGCUAUGAUAAGUAGAAUUCACUUAGUACAAACAUAAGAAAAUUCAGUAAUCUUAGUACUAGUUCAGUCCAAUCUCAGUAUCAGUUUAACCCAGUUCUGUAUUCAGUUCGGACCGCAGUAGUAUUCAGUAUUCAGUUUAGAUUUCAGUAAAUCUCAGUAAGUUACAUAACUCAGUAGCAUUCUGAUAUAAAAUAAAAUUCAGAAGUAUUCCAUCAGAUAAUGAAAUCAAGUAAACUCAGUCAAAUCAAUCAAGUAAGACGAUCAGUAAUAGAUUCAGCUCGUUCUAGUACAGUCUAAGAAUCAGUUUAGUGUCUUUCAGUUGGGAGUAGGAAAUAGCACUAAGCGAGUGCAGGGAUGAUGCAUUCCCCGUUAGAGAGGUAGAGUCAUUAGUAAUAGUCCCUGAAUUCCAGAACUGCGUACCCACCGCAGGACCAGGAGUCACCCAUUAGAUUAAGGCUUGACUAUCAUAUUGCCUUAGGCUUGACUUCCUAUUCAGGGUCACCCAUUAGAAAGGGUUGACCAUAGCAUAGAUCUUUACCCAUUGCACGGUAUUGACACCCUUCCAGUAGGGUUUACAAGUUGGACCUCACUAGAUCAGAUUUAGGGUAUGUCGGUUAAGUGAGAACUCCUAUAGUUGUAGUUUCAGUAUCAGUCUUCAGAGUAGAACUCAGAAAUCAGGACUGUCAGAUACAGUCACCUAUCUCAGUAAGGAACAUAGAUAGUUCCAUAGAUUCUUGGACCACCCACUAGAUAGGCCUGGUCUUACAUAAAAUUAAUCAGUAUCAUUACUAAUAAAGCUAGUGAUCACCCAUUAGAUAGGCGUGAUCUCAUACUCAGUCCAUCAUUUUUAUUAUUAAAAGAUUCAGAGAUCUUCCGCUAGAUAGGUCUGAUCUCAGAUACAAUCAUUCUUUAUCAUUAUUAGUAGAUUCAGAGAUCAUCCAUUAGAAAGGUUUGAUCACAGAUUCAGUCAGUCGAUAGUAGCGAACUCAGAACUCAGUCAUUGAUAUGAGCAUAUUCAGUUAAUCAGCUUCAGUAUCAUCAGUUUUAGAGAUCAACUGAUCCCAACUUUAGUACUCAGUUAUCAAUAUCAAAAAAUUCAGUUAUUCAGUAUCUUAGUAUUAAUAGUGAGUUUAGAUGUCAGUAAAGCAGUAUUCGAGUAUCAGUAUUCAGAGUCACGAUGAUUUCAGUUAUGGUUUAUGCGUUCAUGCAUAAGUCAUUAGUCAGUACUCUCAUGUUAUUCAGUUAAGUUAUGUUCCUGGAUAAGCCCUUGCAUUAAGCAUUACCUCAUCUAGCAUACCAGUACAUUCAAAGUACUGAUACAUACUUUUCUCUUGCACUAUGGUGUCUUAUACCAUAGGUUCAUAAGCGCGAGAUCCAGAGCACCCUUAGCAGUCCAGACUUAGUCAGAAGCAGUAGAUAUAGCAGUGAUUCCUCUUCAUUUGAGGAUGAUCCUUAUUUUAUUAUGGAAUUAGACUCAGUUUAUUUUCAGUAGACGAAGUUAAUUGGGGACAUGUCCCAUCAAAUCCACAGUUCAGACAGUUAGAGGCUUGUCAGAUAGAUGUAUUAGUAUUCAGUUUUUAGUUUUGAGUAUUUUAGAUGUUUUGAACCUUAUGGCAAGUUUUUGCUAGUUUUUCCGUAUCUAUUAUAUUAUAUUAUGCAGUGCUCAGGUAUAGAUAUCAGUAGAGGGUUAGCUUGUGGUCUUUCGAGAUUAUGAUUUCGAUUUCAAAAAAUUAGGGCAUUACAAAAUCUCUUGGUAAUCUACUUACCCUAGUAUUCUAUUCAUUAACACUUAGAAACUCUUCCUAAACACUCUAUAAUUCUCUCAAGAGCUUUUGGGCAAGGAAGCUAGGGUUUCAACUAGAGGACUAAAUUGGGGAUAUUGUUGGUGGCUUCUCUCAAUCUACUUUGUAAAUUAAGGCAGGUUCUCUUCCUUUAUAGUUAGUUCCAAUUAAAGACAUAGUUUUAUACAAUUUUUUUAUGAUUUGAAUAUUGUAUGAUUUUGGGUUCUCAAAAAUAAUUUGGGGGUUUUGGUUAUAAAUUCUUAGUUAUGGGUUUUCGAUGUUUUAACUAUGUCUUAAUAUCAAUUAAUGGUUAUUUAGGAUAAUUAGUUGUAUAAGAAUAGUUCUUUGGUAAUGAACUUUGGUUUUGGAAAUACUAUGCCCCCAAUGUGUUUGAUAAAAUACCUUUAACAAUGUUUCUAUGAUAAUAUUGUUUUUCAAUGGAACUUAUGCAUGGUUUAAACUUGGUAAUGAACUAAAUGAUAUGAAUGGUUUUAAAUGGUUUUAAAUAGAUUGGAAAGGCCUUGUUGGUCAUGGUUUUGGUUAAUUGGAACUCAUGAAGGGUACAUGGAAUCCCUUAAAACUAUAUAUAGCUAGCUAUGGACAAAACUUACAAGUAUAGACGGUAUGACAAUACCACUACUAAUGGCCUUGUUAAUAAAUAAGUAAUGGAUUGGUUGUUUUCUUGGUAAUGGUUGUAAUUGGGAAAUAAUGGCGGGGUGUGUAGCAAAGCCAUGGAAGGUGGGGUCUUGAGAGGACCAAAAUUGGAAACUCAUAUUUGUCGAUGUGAGGUUUGGUCCAAGUUAUCGUGUACAUGAUGUCACACUUUAUGUUUAGGGAAUGUACUAGUCAUCCCAGGUUAUCUUCCCUGGUUGUGCGGCUUCUCACACUAGGGCCCUUUCAAUAGAGAGAGUUAAACCCAUAUAGCCCAUGGGUGGUUUAGGAUGGCAAAACUACACAUCCCAGGUAAAGGAUUUAAUGGGGUGCUAAACCCUAUUCCCUUUCCCAGUAUGGAUAUAUAUAUAUAUAUAUAUAUAUAUAUAUUAUGGUUUAUGUGCAUAUGGAUGGUUUUAACUUGGUUUUAUAAAUGGCAUUAUUUUGUCCUUAUCCUAAUUUCAUGCUAGCGUUCACUCGCUAACCCAUCAUGGAUUGAAAAAUUAUCCACGCUAUGUAGGAACCAACUGCUCUACUCCUCUUACAUAGUGAUUGACUCAGGAACAACUGUUGGACUGAAGUGGUUAGCUUUCAUCUUUCUAAAAGGCUCUAUUUCAUGUUAUGGAUAUUCUUAGACAUUUUGAUUUAUUUUUGGAUAAUGGUUUUGGCUACGGUUGGGGGCAUAUUCAAACUGGAUAUUCUCACUCUUUUGGUUAGAGGAUUUGUGGUACUGCUAUGGGUUGGAAUGGGCGGGAUCGGUAUUGGUGUUAACCUUAGCAUUGGUAUUGGUAGUAGGGUUUAUAAUGGUUUACGAUAUUGUGGGUUGUUUCACCCUCUUUUAUUUUGGGAUUAAUCAUAUCAUGUUUCGGAUUGUAUUUGGUCAUGUCCUGGUUUAUGGCCCUUGGUUCAAUAUUUCUUUGGCUUGGUGGUUUGGCUGGUACGGUUUGGUGGACGAGAUGACUAGGUAGAGUUGGUCUAGAAAUAGACCUAUCCCAAAUUCAGUCCUUGUCCAAUUAUGCUAUCUUGUUAUAUGUUCAAAAUUUAUAUGAUUAAAGAUAUGCUAAUGGCGAUUGAGUUGGGUAUUAGGGGUGGUCCCCGAUCCUGGUUAGACUUGGGUUGCCCAUUACGACAAGUCCCUUUAUCGGGUCAAGUCGAAAGACCUAUAAACUAACUGCUGGUUUGAUAUAGUUUAACUAUGUAUGUUUAAGCUCAAAUUGACACCCUAGUAUUGAUCUACGGAUGUUAGAGGUGACAUUAUUAGCGAGUAGGAUUUCCACUAGAUGAACUGGUCUUCCUAUCAUUUCUGCUGAAACAACCUCGUCAUGUUGAACCUGGAUUAGGAAGAAAAGAGAAACCUCACUUCUUAGCUAAUAUAAGCAUCAUUCAGAUUUAGGAUUGGGUCAACUAAAUCCUUAUUUGGUGGUAGAUUGUUGUAAGGAUAAGCCUAUACCUGGAAAAUCAAUAACUAAGACCAAGUAGUUAAUACUUGUACAAUAAAGUAGUAAAACUAUAACUAAAAAUUUGCCAAAUUCUUUGUCCCCUGCAACCGCACCAGAAACAUGUUGUGUACAAAUAUACAUGUAAGUGUAUGCGGUCAUACAAAUAACUUAGGGACUUUUACAAUCAGAAUAUCGAAUUAAUAGGGAAUUGUGAUUUAUCAACUACAUAAUUCACGUAACACUGAAAGAUUAAACACGUAUAGUUGUAACAACAAAAUUAGUGAAGUUUUAUAAUUCUAAAACAUUUAAUAAACUUAAGAACAUAAUUAAAUAGGCUGUAAUUAUUAAUAAGGAGAAUUCCAAAUCUAAGGUAUGAUUUUCAAUCAUGUAUAUCAAUUCUUUCUCAUCGAUUAAGUUUUUUGUCUGAUUGUUGAUUUACAAGGUUAUUAGUAUGACUGUGGUCUUUUGAACCUCUAAUCUUUUUCCAAAGUUGACCUUGCAACUACAUUCAUUGAGUUGUGAUGCAGAAACCCAAUCUAUAUUUUAUAUGAUUUCAUCCCAUUUUCAAACCACAUGGGAUGUAUUAGGUAUAUUCCUAUCCUAAAUGCAAAUCUCUCCCUUACUUUUUAAAGAGAAGAUCUCAUCGCUCGUAUUCUUUAUUUUAUCCUAGUGAUUCUUCUUCUGGGUUCACACAAGAAUCAUGUAUUUAUUUUACUGGUCAUAAAUAUAAACAAGAAUAUCAUAAUAACCAAUAUGAUUAACAAAAUCAAGCUAAGUCAAAAAUAUGUUAUACAAGCAUGUUGUAGGCCCAAUCAUAUGACGAUAAUUUUUAACGCCUCAUAGUCUAAAAUGAACUUGCAAAUUCAAUAUGGUUCAUAUAUUAAUAAAAUAAUUAAAAAGGAAUAAAAAUCUUAGUGAGAAGACUCCUUGAUGCUCUUUUUGACUCAAACUCAUGGUAGGUUCCUGCAAAAUUAAUUAUGUGUCCUAGUUAAACAAAAUGUAGAAAGUUGUAAAGCAAAUACUUUUCUAGCGUGACCCUAUUGUCAACUCACCUUUGAGCAUCAUGGAACAUUUCUAACACGUGAAGGGAGACAGUGGGGCACUUUGCCAUUGGACCAUGGGAGGCAACAUCACACUCCACCAAUACAGACCUAUUUUGAUUUGGAUGCCUCACUUCUACCAAUUUUCAACCUUUCUCUAUAGCAUAACAGUGAAUGCACUAUGUCUCCUUAAUGGAAGGGAUCACCUUAUAAUACCGUUUUAGAUCAUCAAAUGUCUUGUGAUCUUGCAUUUACACUUUGAUUUCAAAUUACAUCAAUCCAAAUUCAUUUCCAACCUAUAAAAAGUCUAAUCAUGAACGCUAGUUUAUGUACAAUAUUUUAUCAAAACAUUUGGGAAUAUAAUCAAAAUUAUUAUAGAAUUAAGCUUAAAUAUUGAUAGAAAGUAGUACUUGGACAUACAAAUAUUCCCAAGAUUAGUGACUUCUUAUUAAAUCAUCAUUAUUUAAAAUCAACCAAUAUUAAUUCAAGAUUAAAUUAAAACUCUAACCUAUUAAACUAUAACCAACCCACACCCUACCCAUUAGCAUAAUACCCGACCAAAAGCCUAACCCACUCUCCUUUUAUUCCCUCCCAUAGAUCGAUCAGAUAGCCAAAAUCAAUCACUAAUCCAAAUUCCAUAAUAACAUUUUAAUAUGAAAAAACAUAAGAAGAAAUUCAUGUCUUUUUCAUUCUUUCUCCUUCUCUGAGGAGUGUAACCCAUUCCCUAACUCCAAACUUAGUUCAUCCAUUAUCAUCUGGUUCAAUCAUCCAAAUUCAAAUCCUAGAUUAAAUUAUUUUUAUCAAUAUUUUUAGGAUCGAGUGACUCAAAUUGUUUAAGGAAAGGUACCAUUGCGGACUUAAUGUCAAUUUAUUUACGGAGUGGAUGCUGAACAACAUUGUUAGACUAUAUAUCCAGUGUCAUAUACCCAAGGUAGGUUAUGUUGGAGUAAUAUUUCACUGAUUCUAAAUAAAUUUUUUUAUUCUUUUGCAAAUUAAAUUAUUUUUGGAAUAGAGUCAAUCAUAUAAUUUUUGAGAUGGGGAUGACGAAAAAUUCUCCCACAGGAGAUAUGGAAUAUCACCAGAAAUUAAAAACAAAAGUUAAAUAUUUGUUAUAUUGAAAGGAAUAAUUUGACGAAGAACAUAGCCAAUUUUUAGGUUUCUAUUGUUAAUAUUGAGAUAAUGGUUGAUUUCAAAGUUUUGACUGCUAUGGAUUAUGCAAAUAUAAUGGAGUUAGGAGAUAAAUUAGAUGUUCUUAAGGUUGAGAGAAAUAUAUUAGCGGUGAAGGUGACUAAAUUUGUAUUUUUUUUCAUUUUGUGGUUGUUAUAACAACUAAUCUGUUAUGAAAAAAAGUGAUACGAUAGAUAUUGAUCAUUUUGUGUUUUUCUUAUUUGCUUGUUUCUCUAAUGGCAUGUGUUCUUAAAGAAUUGACAUCAACUUUUUAUUUGUCAUAUCUAUAUAUAUGUUUAGUCUUUCAUCCCUUAGGUACUUUGUCAAUUAUAAUGAAAGCGGGAACAACAAAUAUCAUAUUUGGGUUUAAUUUUGUGUUAGCAACUUGUGGUAGAAAAGUAUUAUCCUAUAACUAUUGUUGAGUUUAAAUUUGGGUACAUGUUCUUUUGCAAUCGGUUAGUUGGAGUCUCUUAAUCUUGAUUUAAUGUAUUGAAGUUGGACCCAGCAUAUUUAUGGCAGUUAAGUUUUUCUACCAAUUUUUAUUUAGUUAUUCACUUUUCCAAAUUUGGUGGUUGGAGCUUUUAAUUUUAAUUUUAAUAGGAUAGGUGAUUUUUAUUGACUAGUGAUUGUCGAUAGGUGAGUUUUAUUAACUAUUGAUUUCCGGUACUGGCAUGCGCAUGGGAUGAUCUAAAUUUUCAUUUGUGUCCCAUGCUUUGUACUUUUUUUGUUUAUUGAUUCUAACAUCAUUUUUAUUUUUCACUCAUCUAACUAAUGUGAAGCUGGACAUAUUUUAGGUAUUGUAGUAGGAUAACUAGGCAACACGCUGUGACAUAUUGGUAUCAACUAUGUUUAUCCUCGUGAAUGUCUUAAGUGUAAGCGCUUUAUCAAUCCUAUAAGAUAGUAAAACUUAUUUGUAAAUACCUCAUAUAUUUUUGUUUGGAAUUUGACUUGACCCUUAGAAUAUCAAAGUUAGCUCAUAAGAUAAAUCAACCAUACCACUUCCACACAUCUCGAGAAUAACUGCUUUGCAAACCUUAUUAUUUGAUAUCAUACCUUUUCUAUUUGUACUAUGCCACAUUUUAACAACAUUAUCAAACAGUUCAAUCCUACAAAACCCUCUAAUAACAAUAGUAUAACUCACAUGUAGCGCCUCAGAAAAAUCAAAUUAAUUUAACACUUUACACAAGCACAACUCUUGGUUUAUAAAAAAAUUACUAAAUGGUGAAUAUAGUUGAUGAGGAAUUGUACUAUGUAUGUAUGUAUAUAUGUGGGUGUGUGUAUAUAUAUAUAUAUAUUGUAAUACCUCAAGACUAUCCCUGGACAUCACAUGGUGCUUUGAACCAUAAGUGACCCGAAGCUAACCUAUGACACCAGCAUAAAUCGUGAGCAACUAAAUAAAAUACAUAGAACUGGAAGUAAUAAGGGGAAGAUAUGUGUUUUGUUGAACGUGUUAAAAAAAUUGUUUAAAACAUUUACACUUUGGUUAUACAAAACAAAACUAAAAUUAAAUACAUCAGCUCUAACUGUCUGUUUAUAAAGCCUCUACUAAUACUCACUAUAGGUAGCUGGGACAUCACCCCUAACUAUCCCUAAUCAAUAUGACUAAAUAAAUAUGAUAUUGGAACUAUAGUCAACUCGAGUACUCAAAUCAAAAGAACUCAUCAUCUGCUAGUUGGAAGCUGUGAACUGUCUGAUUAUGAUGUGUGGGCUACAAUUGGUACCUAUAUUAUGAAACAAUGUAUCCACAUAGAUGUACAUAUGGUCAGUACUUCUAGAAUGUGCUAAGUAUGUAGGGGUGAAUGCAAUAAGUAAAACUGAAGCUGAAUAUACUUUCAAAUCAUGCAUGCUAAGUGUAAAAAGAUUCACCUUGAUCAUGAAUAAACUAAAAGCCGAAAUAUCAUAAAACAUGAAUAAAAAAGUAUACUCUGAUAAGAUUCCAAAAUCUUUACUUAAAUGGGAAAUUCUUAUAACUGACAUAAACUGUGUGAACUAUCAUAGAGUCCAACAUCCUACCCAUGCUGAGGAAAGUUGUUCUACUUUUUCCAUCAAAAUAGAAUCUUAACUUAAAGUAAUCACUAAACUUAGCCCAUAUUUGGAAAAGGAGAGGAGACUCUCUAAUGAGGCCCCUAAACCUAUGAUGGAACAUAGUUUCAAGGAAAUAGGAUGCUCUAAAUCCACAUUCCUCUCUCAGUGCUAAAUGCUACUCCUAAAAUAUACACUUAUAUGCUCUUACUUGUGAAAUCCACCUUAAAAUAACAUAUAGGUUUUCAAACUUAAAAUCAACUAUGCUUUUUUUACUUAAAUCAUAUUCAUGAGGAAACUUGUGGAUUUUAUCUCCUAUCUGAGAUCAUAAGAUCAAUACUGAACUAUAGUCAUGCUGUAAAACUUGUAUCUUGAACUUAUAAGCUUGAAGUUCUUGUAAACUUUGUAGCUUACGCUUAAAAUUGAAAUCAUUCAUCAUCUCAUAGAAAAUUCAUAUCAAAAUAUCAAACUCAAUGUGUAAGAUCACUUUCAGGGAUAAAACAUAAGUGAACAUGAAAUCAUAUGCAAAACAAUGUUCAAUUCAUUAGGAAGUAUCAAAAUCUCAAAGCAUAAGGAAAGUGGGUAUAAAGCCUAGUAAGUCAAUUUCUUCAAAAUCAAUUAAAAAUCAAAUUUUAGGCACAAGGACGAAAGAGUAUCCUUGUUCAAACUCCACAUACCUGAAUUUAUUGAUUUUCUUGAAGGAAACUUGAAUUUUGAUCCUUGGAAGUUGAACUUUAGGAAGAAACUCUCACUUCUUUCUCUUAAGAGUGGAGAAGAGAAUAAGCUUUAAAACUAACUAAGAAUGGGUAAAUAAUGCUUAUUGGCUAAUUUAAGUCGUGUAAUAGAAGUUUGGUGGAGGAAAAGACCAAAUUACCCUAAGAAAACUUAAAAGAAGUUGCAAGAAUUUUUAGUUGACAACUCGCCAGUUUGGUGAAAACUAAUCAACCUAGUCGUUAAUAUCUAGCUUGAUUUUGACAUUUACUGGUUAAGGUUUACUACUUGAGUUGACAGCUCGUCACCUAGUUGAUGGCUCUUCAACUUAGUCGUAACCUUCUCAUAGACAGACAUUCCCAAGUAAAAUGAGCAUAACUUUCUACUCCAAUAUUAGAUUAACGUGAAAUUAGAUGCACUGGAAAGAAGACACAAAGAUCCCUCAUUUGAUAUACAAUAGGCCACAUAACUCUUUAUAUUCUAGGAGUUACACUCAUUUAAAGUUGAAACUUAUAGAAUUCAAUAUAAAAACUCAAUCGAUAAAAAUGCUUUUAAUUCAAAUUUGCUUUAAGUGUUUCUAUGACCAUAAUCGCAUCAAAAACACUUUACCCAAAAGGUCAAUAGUCAUGACACUUAUCUAUGGUUUGAAAUAAUUUCUUUGGGGUCCUUAAACAUAAGGUGAAUAAUUGAAAACUUAUCUGGGACCUUGUGGGGUAUUACAAUAUCUCCCCCUUGGGAUCAUUCAUCCCCGAAUUAAGACUGAUAUUCAUACUAAAAUAAUGUAGUUACUAUCUUGAAACUAAAUUCUAAAAUUUAUCAUGUCUCAUAACUGAAAUCACCUCUUAAUAUGAUACUAACUCAGCUGAUACAUGCAUAACAUGAACACAUACCUAGGAAUCAUAUGGAAUAAUGUAGGCAUGACAAGUCUGCUUAUGAAUGAUAUAGCUAAGCUGAAACAAUAAAACUUCAACCAUGAAACUUACUUCUAAGAUAAAUUGAUUGACUAUAAGGAGAUGAUUCAAGUUUUAAGUUUAGAACACAACUAAAACAUUCAUGACACGAUCAUCAUACAGAACAACAAAGUGAUAACUAAUGUAAUAAGAUCUCUAAGAGUUGCUAAGAACAUAAUAUGAUUUUCUUCAGAUUCUCAUUAUCAUAACAUCUAAUAACAAUCGAGGAAAAAAAUUUAGUGCAUGAUCUGGGUAUGGAUUUUGAGUAAGGAAUUGCAACAUGGAUACAACUCUAUAACAUGGGAUAUAAGCAUAUAGAAUAAAAGCUAGAAUAGGAUAACUAUGUAUUAGUCAAUGCAACUAUUAAAUUUCAAGAUUAGCGCCACUUCUUAGAUACUCUCUCAACUAUACUUAUCCUCUUGAAUACUAUGCAUCAUUUGAUGCAUUUAUAAUUCUAACAUGGGUACAUAUGACUACUCCAGCCUAAGCAUGAGUUGAACUACAUACUCUCACCAUGUUCAACCCUAACUUGAAAUCACAUGGUGCUACACAUAACACCAUAAUACUAGUCUAAACCAUGGUUUUCAAUAUCUUAUGUCUUUUCAGAGCUCUUACCUCAAGAAAAUACUCCUUACCACUUCAACAACUAACUUCAACCUGUUACCAAGAAUUCACUAGUGCAUAAUGCAUUCAUCCACUUAUAUACCAACAUGUUAUUCAAGCCUACCAUUAUAACCACAUAUGAACUUCUAGGAAACCAACCCACUGAGGAAUUUUUCCUAUAUUCUAUAUAUACCUUAAUCAAUAACAACUUUCAUGCAUUAUUCCCAAGAAGACACACCUAGAAUUCUCAACUAACUAUGGUAUACUAAAGAUUUGCAUCACUCUUAUUUCACACUUAUAGAAUUAGAUAAAAUAAGUAUUCAACAAAUUUUACCUAAUAAGGAACACCUACUCUCUCCUAUCUAAACCAUUGUUUAUCCACUUUUACCACCACUAUUUAACAUAAGAAGAGGCCACUAAAGGGCUAGAACAUGAGUACCUAAAGAAUGAAAGAAUACUAUACAUAACUUUGACACUUAACUAAGGCCUAAAGAAUAGAGUAUCAAAGCAAUUGAUUCCUUAAAGAGAUCUAAAUUAAAGACAUACACAUAACAUAAUGUGAAUUUUACUGGUCAUUAAGGGUGUACCAUGAGUUAUUAGAACUAAAGAACUGAGCAUACUUUGAAAUAUAGGUUCAUACUUACCAUAAGAUACUCAAUAUAAUACUACAGUUCAUAGAUUUAUGAGAGGUGACUCGAAUCAUAGAGUGAAGUUGUUACUUCUUUACUAGAGUUAAGAAUGAACUUGAAUAUGAAUGAAGUGUAUAAUCAUUGGUCACAUACGUGACUCUAUCGUGCAAGACAUAGAUAAGGUGCUAUAAUGACUGAAAUUUAAGGAAAGGAAUAUGCAAGAGCAAAAAUGGAUCACUAUCUCAUCACAACUCUUAUUGACAUGUAUCUCAAUCUAAUUCUCAAACAUUGAUUUGGUUAUUCACCUUAUCAUCUCCCUCUUAGAUUAAAGCCAAUAUUCUAAGCUUAUGGGUCCAUUCCAUAUCCUCAAGACUAACACAUACUUUAUUCACUCUAAUGGCCUAUACAUAAAUGCUCAAACUCAUUUGAAUAAACUAUAUCUGCACAAUUCUAACUUCAUUCUUUAACACUCUCUUAAUAUAUACCAUCCCUAACUUUCUCUAGCUUCAAUAAUGAUCAUCAUAUACUUACGCUCUUCUACAUCAACAUAGCUAUCAAUCUAAACACGUAAUCCACCCUUUUUUUAUAACUUACUCAUAUCACACCUUUAAACUUAUAUUUUUCCAUAAACCAUCAGAAUCAAAAUUAUACGAAAAAACUUAAUAUCCUUAACCUAUAAAUCCCAACUUAGCUAUCAAGAACACCAUAUAAUUUAUCAUUAUCCUUCUUUACACUUAGCAACUCAUGGGUAUUAUCUAAGCACACAAGACACAUUAAAAACUUAGAAAAUAAUGCAAGCCAUAUCACCUUGGGUACACUUCUACAUCAUGCCUACACUAUUAUACCUAAUUGCAAAAUAAAUGAACUUAAAUUGUUGCACACAUUAUUCCUAGCCUACUAGCUCACCUUUCAUAUAACUAACAUCAUUAUCCCAUAAAAUCAUUAUUUCCACCUUGACGAUCAUUUACGGUUCAACCUUAGAUUCUAGUACUAGACAUGAUUAACCACAACCUCACACAAUAUUCUUGCUUGGCAAAACAUCAAGAAACACUAGUCCACUAGAACAUCAUAAUAAUGAUAUUUGAUCAUAAUCUUAUGGUAAAUCUUACAAUAUCUAUUCGCAUAUUCUCGUUUCACAUAUCACUACUACUUAUCCAUCCAUACAUCUAAAUUAUACUCCUAGCCCUACAAGUAUCAACCAAUUUCUCUUUCACAACCACAAGGAGAACCCACAUUAAUAACCCUUAACAACAUAAUACUUUCAUUAAUCACCUAUACUUUUGUAUCAUAAUGGAAUACCAUCAAGAACUAUUUUUCUACUUUAAGAUUAUCAUAAUUCACCUUAACUGGUAACUCCUUCUCUACCUUCCACCAUAAAACCUACACCAUAUUCACUACUUCUUAGUUAAUACACAUAGAUAUAUCAUCUAAGUCAUACUUAAUAACAGACAUGCAUCUGUCAAUUUACCUCAACCAAAUGCUAACCCUACCUUUUCUUGUUACUGCACAUCUAUAUCCAUGCUUCCAACUCUAAGGAUGCUCUAUUACUUAUGAAUUAUAACACCCUAAGUUACACUAUCCCUGUGUAAAAAUUGUAUUCAAUACUCUAGGAACAUGCUCUUCAUAAGCACUAUCCAUAAAAAAAGGAUAAUGAGAAAUAUAAUUACAUAGAAUAUUCUAUCUUAACUAUACAACUCAUAUAGAUGAGGACAUAAAAUUUUGAAUAAAAGGACUUUCAACCCACUAGCAGGCUCUUCUCAAAACCUUUGUACAAUUUUUGAAGUUACUGAUAGUAAAUUUGAGAGCAUCAUCUCAGGAUGAAUUAAAAUUUACUACUUAUGUUAUCUUAAGAAUAAUUCAUGGAUGGAGAAUUAUAGAGUAACACACAAAUUGAUAGAAGUUUAUUAGAGAAUAACUAUACUGCACGAUCUAGAGCAUAAAAAAGGGAAAUAUUUCUUAAAUGCCUAAUAGCCUUUUGAAGAAAAGUACAAAUGUCGUUUUUCUAUUCCACAAGGCUCUAUUAGACAUGACUUCAUAAACAACAUAGGACACUUAUACUCUGUUCUCUAAUAUAAUUUUUGUAAUGUCUUGUGACUACCCCAUAGAUGUCGUAUAGUGCUUAGAACCACCAGUGAUCCUAAGCUAACCCAUGAUACUGGCAAAACUUAUGAGCAACUGAAUAAGAACAUAAAACUAGAAGUAAUAAGCGUAAGAAAUGUCUUUAGCUGAACAUGUUACAAAAACUAUUUAAAAUAGUUACACUUUGGUUAUACAAAACAAAAUUGAAAUUAAAUACAUCAACUCUAACUGAUUGGCUAUGAAUCCAAUACUAAUACUGAUUAUAAGUAGCCGGGAUAUGACCUUAGUUGACUGAAUAAAAAUAAUAUUGGAACAAUAGUUGACUCGAGUCCUUGAAUAAAAAAAACUCAUCACCUUAUAGUUGGACGCUAUGAACUAUAUGAUUAUAUGUCUGGGCUACAUCUCGUAGCUACACAUGAAAUAAUAAAAAACAUAGACGUAGAUGUGGUCAGUACUUCUAAAAUUUACUAAGUAUGUAGGGGUUUAUGCAAUAAGUAAACUGAAGUUAAACAUAAUUUUAAAUCAUGCAUGCUAAGAGUAAAAAGACUCACUGUGAUAAUGAAUAAAACUAAAAUAUCAUAAAACAUGAAUAAUAAAGCAUAAUCUGAUAAGCUUAGUAAGUCAUUACACUUAAUUUCUAAAAUCUUUACUUUUAUGGGUGAUUUUUAUAGCCGACAUAAACCAUGUGAGCUAUUAUGGAGUACAACAUCUUACCCAUGUUUAGGAGAGUUGUUCUACCAUUUCCAUCGGAAUAGAACCUUAAUUUAGAGCGAUCAUUAAACUUAGCCCAUUUUGGGAAAAAGAGGGGACACUCUCUAGCAAGACCUCUAAACCUACGGUAGUACGUAGUUUCUGGAAAAAAGGAUAUGCUAAACCCAUAUUCCUCUUUUUGUGCUAAAUACUACUCUCAAAAUAUAUACUUAUAUGUCCAUACUUGUGAAAUCCACCUUUAAAUAGCAUAUGGGUUUAUAAACUGAAAACCAAUUAUGUUUUUCUUACUUAAAUUAUAUUCAUGAGGAAACUAGUGGAUUCCAUAUCUUCUCUGAGAUAGUAAUAUCAAAACUAAACUUUGUUUAUGUUGUAUAACUUGUAUCUUGAACUUAAGCUUGAACUUCUUAUAAACAUAGUAACUUAUGCUUAAACUUAAAAUCAUUCAUCAUCUCACAAAAACUUCAUAUCAAAAUAUCGAACUCAAUUUUGAAGAUCACUUACAAGGAUAAAACAUAAGUAAAUAUGAAAUUAUAUGUAAAACAAUGUUCAAUUCAUGAGGAAGUAUCAAAAUCUCAAAGAAUAAGAAAAGUGGGUAUAAACCCUUUUAAGUCAAUUUCUUCAAAACCAAUUAAAAAUCAAACUUUUGGCAUGAGUAUGGAAAAGUAUACUUUUCUAACCCCACAUACCUGAAUUUCUUAAUUUUCUUGAAGGAAACUUGAAUUGAGAUCCUUAGAAGUUGGAACUUUAGGAAGAAACCAUAACUUCUUUAUCUUGAGAGUAGAGAAGAGAAUGAGCUAUAAAAAGUAACUAAGAAUGAGAAAAUAAUACUUAUUGCCUAAUUUAAGUCAUGGAAUAUGUAUUGACCCUCUUGAAACACCCCAAACUUUGGCCUUUGAAAAUUUCCUGAUCCUUUAGCUCACUGCCUUGCUUAUGACUUGACCUCAUGAGUUGUAGGAUGUCUUGAUGAGUCAUGUAACCCAAUCAUAUGGUGUCCAGUGAUUGUUGUUGAGUUUUUGUCCUGGGUCAACUUAGGGAAAUAAGUCAUAAAGACUCAUGAUGAUUCGUUAGGAAGAGUCGUAACUAAAUCAUAUAAGUUGUUAUCUUGAUUCUUCUUUGAUUAUGAGUGGAUCACUAUGAGCCGUAAGGACUCAUUACAAGUCAUAAUGAUCAAAUGGUAGGAUGUCCAAUGUUUACCCUAUUUGGUUCUGCUCUGAUAACGAGUAGGACCCUAAGAGUCAUAGGGUCAUAUUACGAGUUGGUUGGUUGAGUUGUAAGAGUAAAAAUGUUGGGGUUCCUUAAGACUUUCCUGGUUAUGACUAGUGGUAACGAGUCAUAAGUUAAUAUUACGAGUAGAUGGAUGACUUAUAACUAAAGACGAUGCUUUUCAAGCUUAUAAAUUGGGGCACUUUAGACAUUUCCCACUUAAAACCCUUUAGAACCCACUUCGUAAAACACUUUUGAGGCAUUCAUUCAACACUUUAAUGGGUUAAAUACUCUCUAUAAAUGCUUUUAAGCAUGUCAAUCUAGGUUUUCACCAAUUUGGUCAUCUAAGGGCUCAAGGGUUGAUUUCUCUUCAUAAAUCUUCGUAAUUCAGGUAUGUGACUCUUCUCUCAUUGUUAAUUAUAUAAAACUAUGCAACUUAAAGUAUUGUUCAUGAGUUAUUAUCAAGAGUUUUGAAAACAAGGUUUGAGGGUUUUUAAUAUUUAUUGUUGAAUAGUAUUUUCCUAUGGUUUAAUUAUUAUUUUCCAUGCUUUAAUUGUGGUUUUUGCAUAUAUGGGUGCAUGGGAAUGGUGAUUUAACUAAGGUGUUACGUUUAACCCCUAAUUUGAUGAUUUUGCCUUGAUUUUUUCUUUGAUAAUGGUACGCCCUCAGCCUGUUUGUAAAAUUAUUAAUGAGAAUGACCUUGUCACAAGUAUGAAUUGUGUGUUGAACUAAUACAUUGACAUAAAAUGGUAAAUGAACGAUGAAUGUCUUUAUGAAGGCCUUGAUGGACAUAAAUUGAUUUAAAUUGGAACCUUGGGGUUUGAUUGGCUAAAUAGGUUUAAGUCCCAAAUGUUAAAUUAAUUUUGAUAACUUUAUUAAGAUAAUGGGUUCGAGUCCCAAAUUGAUGAAAAUAUUAUUAUGGCAUAUUAUACGCUUGCAAGUGGGGUUGGUAUGAUGAUACCAAUAGGGUGCCUAUAUGUAGAAUGGGUUAACAAAUAGUGCUGCAGAUUAAAUGUUUUAAAUUGGGCUUAAAAUAAGGAUGUGUAGACGGACCAUAAAAGUAAAGGUCCCAAAGAACUAACAAUGGAAAUCGCACUAACUAGUGCAUGUGUCUAAAUGAUCAGAAAGUUUGAGUCCCCUGUAUUGAAUACAUGAAUGGGAGGUUUGAGUCUCCCAUGUUGUAUAAAUUGGUGCUUAAGUCACCUUGAAUUUGCUGGGAGGUUUAAGUCCCCCAUAAAGGCAUAUACGAAUAUAGAUAUUCUCUGGUUUGUGCAGCUACCUCGGGUGCCUUGUUAUAUGACAAUUAUGCUACACAGCCCAGGUUAAAGUUU
rnacentral:lncRNA from 1 species